rnacentral:lncRNA from 1 species
UGUAAAUACAUACAUACAGACGUAUGUAAAUACAUACAUACAGACGUACAUACAUAGUGAUAAGGAGAGAUAAAAAUACAAGGAAAACAUGAUGGAAAACACCUCCUUCGUUCCUUUACCGACUUUACCUCCACCACAACCACCACUAUCACCGCCGCCGCCGCCGCCGCCGCCAGCAGCAGCAGCAACAGCGACAACAACAAAGAACACGCCAACACACACAUACACACACAGUCACGUACGUACAGUACAAGCUGACAUACAGACACACGUAAAUCUGCGUUAACACCAAUAGCCGCCUAUGCACACACGUGCAUGCAUAGGCAUGUAUAUUGCACACACACACAUACAUACAUACAUACAUAUAUAUAUAUACAUACGUGCAUAAUAUACGGUGUCUAUGAAAAACACAAAAUGCCGGAGAAGAACAGCUAGAAAACUAAACGCACACAUUAACACCAACACAUGCAUACAUUAACACACCUAUACACACACACACACACACAAACAUAGAGGCCCACUAACACCUACACACAUACACACGUAGGUAUAUAUAUAUAUAUACACGCAUAGAUGUAUGUACAUAUAAUAACAACUCAACAUACACACACACGUGUACAUACACAGAUACAUAGACACGUACGCAUACAGUUUCUCACAUACCUAAAUGUACACGAAUAUACCUAAACACACGCACGUACAUACACAGCCAUACACACACACACACACACACGCACAUACUUACACACACACAAUACAUUCUUAAACAACACAUACACACGUACGUACAUAGAGAUAGGCAGCGAUAUAAAGCUUAAAACAAACAAGACAUCUUCAAAUAGAUGAAACUGAACGCCCAACCGUCCAACACGGUAGGUUUCGCUUUCUCAUUCAGACGGCUCCCCUAAUAUUUUGGCGAUAAUACUAUUUAUGUUAUUGUUCCUAUACAGAUCUCAACUUUAUCAUUAUUACCUAUAAUUAACACUAUCAUUAUUGGAUUUAUUGAUGUUAUUGUGAAUGUUAAUUGCUGUUUGUUUUUUGUUUUUUUUUUGUUAUUUUUGCUUAGUAGCGUUGAUUACUGCUCCUCUCAUCGAUCCUGAUUGAAAACAUACCUGCGUAAUAUAUCAAAGGCAUUUCCCCGUGUGAUCAUUCAAUAUUUCUUCUUAGCUUUCUACAACGAGAACAUCAUGAUCCAGUGUGUUCGUUUUUUUCUUUAUUCCCGAUUGGAUGUAAUUUCAGGGAGAUUUUGUUACCAUUUCUAGCAGACUGAGGAACCGUACAUGGUGGUUUUCUAUACCAAAUGUUAACAAUUGUUGUUAUUAUCAGUGAUAAAUAAUGACGAUUGUAAAUGAUAUGUGUUUCUAUACACAUGCACACACACACUAUGUAUAUAUAUAUACAUAUAUAUAUGUAUCAUAUUUCGUAUACUAUAUAUGUGAAUGUAUGUAUAUAUAUUAUACACAGGUAUGUAUUAUUAAUACUAUAGUUUGUCGGUGACAAUAUAAACAAUUUAUACAUAUAUAUGCAUAUAUACAUACGUAUAUAUACAUGUAUAUAUAUAUGUAUAUAUACAUAAAUAUAUUUAUACAUAGAUAUUUAUACAUUUAUAUAUACAUAUAUAUACACACACACACAUGCAUAUACAGAUUUGUUAGUAUAUAAAUAUUUGUAUAUACAUAGAUUUGUAAGUAUAUAUAUAUAUAUAUGUAUAUAUACACACACAUUCAUACCUAUAUAUAUAUAUAUAUAUAUAUAUGUAUACACAUACCCACGCGUAAAUAUGUGUGUGUGAGAGAGAGUAUUAUUUCAUGUACCACGUCCUCGCGUUGUUUUUUCUGUUUUUCUUCAUUUUCUUAUUAAUUAUAUAUAUAUAUAUAUAUAUAUAUAUAUAUAUAUAUAUAUAAACAUACAUACAUACAUACAUACAUACAUGCAUACGUAUGCAUUCAUACUACAUAUAUACACAUACAUACUAUAUAUAUACACACACAGACACAUAUUAAGAGUAAUGGUAUUUUUUAGUAUUUACAAGAACAACUAUUACUACUACUACUUCUACAACUACUACUACUACUACUACUACUACUACUACUACUGCCACUAUUACUACUAUUAGUAAAGUUGUUCAUAUUAUCGUGCUUUACAGUGUUUGUUUUUUUUAUAAGGCAAAUAUUCUUAUUUAUUCUGCACUACGAGCAGAAUAAAAAGUUAUAAUGACCUAAGGACAAAUCGAUUAUGUAUAUGUGUGUACAUGCGUGUAUGUAUGUGAGUGAGUGUGUGUGUGUAUGUGUGUUUGAAUGUGGCAAAACUUAUGAUUUUUGGACGAUGAGGGCAGAGCCUCUCCCCGUCUAGUUUGCAACGCCAAUUUUUUCCGUGUGUUCCUUUCGUCGUCCUAUGACAUUUUAAGCAUAUAUGUAUAUAUAUAUAUAUAUAUAUAUAUAUAUAUAUAUAUAUAUAUAUAUAUAUAUAUAUAUAUAUAUAAAACAACAGACAGUACUCAAUAUGUAUGUUAUAUAUAUAUAUAUAUAUAUAUAUAUAUAACAUACAUAACGACGGACAGAAACAUGUACAGAACUUCAAACUUGGUAGAAGUAAUAGCUAACACAGGAUAAAAGAGAAUGUUACUCUAUGGAUUAAUAUUUCGGAGUUCCCAAGAACAAGAAAUUGAAUCUAUGAGUUAAACAGUGAGCCUAUAUAUAAAUAUAUAUACAUAUAAACUAACAGUUACAUACAUACAUACAUACAUACAUACAUACGUACAUACAUACAUACGUACAUACAUACAUACAUACAUACAUACAUACAUACAUACAUACAUACAUACAUACAUACAUACAUACAUAUAAUCGUUGUGUAUGUAUAGGCGAAUAUCCUUCUGUUUUUAAAAUGAUCUUGGAAUUUUCUUUAUUGAUAUUUUGCUCUUUGCGUGCGCACUUACUUACUUAUACAGAUGGCACACGCGUACGCUAACAUAGAGUGCCAUAUAAACACUCCCACCAUAUGCAGUCGUUUAUUUGGUUUCGCACUCAUGCAUCUAUAUGCGUUCAUAUACAAGCAUACAUGCUAGUGGUACGCGUAUACAUACAUACAUACAUUCACACACACACACACACACACACACACAUAUAUAUAGGCGUAGGGGUGGCUGUGUGGUAAGUAGCUUCCUUACGAACUACUUGGUUCCACGGUUCACCUGGACAAGUGUCUUCGUGGAACUUUGGGCAAGUGUCUACGUGGCAGCAUGGGCAAGUGUCCCCGUAACGGUUCGGCAAAAGAGACCGAUUGAAUAAGUACUAGGCUUCCAAAGAAUAAGUCCUGGGGUCGAUUUGCUCGACUAAAGUCGGUGCUCCAGCAUGGGCACAGUGGCACAGCAUGGGCACAUGACUGAAUCAAGUAAAAGAGUAUAUAUAUAUACUGUAAAUAUAUUGAUAGUGAAAUCAUGUACUAAGGUUUUGCACACUCACAUAUAUAUAUACACUUUUAUAUAUAUAAUAUAUAUAUAUACAUACGUAUAACCGAUGCCGGUGUGUUUACUCUAACGGUUCAGCAAAACAGACCAAUAGAAUAAGUACUAGGCUUACAAAAGGGUAAAAGUCCUGGGGUCGAUUUGCUCGACUAAAGGCGGUGCUCCAGCAUGGCCGCAGUCAAAUGACUGAAACAAGUAAAAGAGUAAAAAUCGAGAUAUGCUGGUCAUGAGUAUAUGAGAGUGUGUGUGUAUAUGUGUGUAUACUUAUGAUUAGUAUGCAAAUAUAACGUAUUUAUAUACGUACACGCACACAUAUAUAUGUAUGUAUACACACAUAUAUAUACAUAUGUCCCAGUUUGUAUUUUUCUACAUAUAUAUAUAUAUAUAUAUAUAUAUAUAUAUAUAUAUAUAUAUACAUAUAUAUAUAUGUAUGUAUGUAUAUAUAUAUAUAUAUAUAUAUAUAUAUAUAUAUAUAUAUAUAUAUAUAUAUAUAUAUAUAUACAUAUAUAUAUACUUACGAUGAAUGCACUGCUUAUAGAAUCAUCCGACAACUAACUAGUAAUACUACUUGUUGAUCAUAUUCCGGUCGGUCUGGUUUGACUUGGUUCGCUUUUGCUCUUGCAUCCAUUUAUUAUUAUUUUUAAUGUAUAUAUUCAUUCAUUUAUUUAUUUAUUUGUUUCGCGUUAUUUCCACAUAUCUACCACAGAGUAUAAAAAUACACAUUAAGAACAUAUACAGACACACACACAGAUCCCCGCCCGUCCUAGACUCACACUCACACACAUAGGUGCACAAACUCGUCCUCACUACCGUUAUAUGGAACACGCAAGCAAACAGACACUCGCCGAUAAAGCCAUGGCUCUCUAUAAUUUAUAAACCUGCAGCUUUAUUCAACUUGACAUGACUUGAAUGACUAUUAUUAUUAUUAUUAUUAUUAUUAUUAUUAUUAUUAUUAUUAUUAUUAUUAUUAUUACUAUUAUUAUUAUUAUUGGUGUUAUUUUUAUUUACGUUACUGCCGUUUAGUUCUGGUUUUGGAGAAACGAGGUUUAGCUGUUGAUGUUUUUCUUUCUUUCUUUCUUUCUCUCUUUCUUUUUUUUUUUUCACCUGCAAUGUGUAGCUAUGAUAACAGAAAACAAGUCGUUAACGUGGAAACUUCUACCUGGUGCUGCUCCGGCGUGGAACAGCAGUAACACAUUUCUCAAAUCACUCCAUCUUAUCCUCUCAUACAGUUACAUGCGGGUGCGCGCGCACAUACACGCACAUACAUACAUACACACACACACAUACACAAACACAUACUCAGAAGGAAUGAUAUUACCAUUGGAUUAUUUUAACAAGGAAUGGAGGGGAGCACAUGAUCAUUUAAUUUGGCAACGACCGGCUUGUUACAGUAGUUAUAUAGUAUUUUCAUGACACACAAUCAUGUCAUACACUACCAUAAAAUACUAUACAGUUACAGUGCGCACGCACUCACACACACACAAAAAAGAAAUUAUAGAAUCAUUGGAUUUUUAAACAUUAAUUAAUCAAUGUCGGAGGAACAGAGCCCAUGGCGAUUUUACACAGGUGAGAUGAUUGUUCGAUGUUAUCCUGAAACCGAAACCUGAUCCAAAUGUUUGCAACUGAGUGAAUCCUACUAACGGAAUCCAUGUAGCAUGUGAUGGUUAAACUGAGAAAUGGAUUAUGUCGGCUACCCCAAGGAUACAUACACCAAACCACGACGCAGUAUUUGAACUCAGUACGCAGACAUUUGGAACACAUGCCGAUGUACAUUUUGUCCUACAUUCUAAAAAUGCCUUCUUUAUGCGACUCUGGACUGGUACUUAAUUAACUUUAAUCUUUUUGGAAGGAAUGGACGAAAGGCAAACCUGAGCUGUGAUGUCGAUGGAUUUGAACUCAGAACAUAAAGAUUUGAAAUAAAAAUACCAUGCGGGUAUCAUGUCUAGUGAUCUAGAAAUUCCCCACAGUCCACUGCCCUGAAUAGGUUUCGCAUUUUAUUGAACCGGAAUGUAUGUGAAAAUCUCGAUAGGAUUUAAUGGGUGCAUACGAUGUUGUUUAAAAUCGAGAUAUGCUGGUCAUGAUUGGAACGCCUUUCAUUAUAUAUCUGUUAUUAUCGAAAAUAAUAGAGUAAAAUCAUUACGGAUGUAACGUAAACGAGCAAACCGUUGAUUAAUUGUUAAACCAACAACAAUGACAAAAAGAUUCAAACAUAAAGUAAUUGGGGAAACGAGGAGAAAAUGGAGUUUCACAAAAAUUAAUUUGAUAUUGUUUCUUGAAUAUUUAAUAUUGUUUAUUGAAAAUUUUAAUUCAUUUUGAAUAUAAUUUCUAAAAUUUAUAUAAUUUGUGUUCAUAUCUGUUGCUAAUAUUGCUGUUGUUUAACCCCAGGUUGGCUUUACUCCGAUCACCUUAUAUUCAGAAUGAUCAAGCUAUGUCAAUCUUGUUUUGUAAACACUUCCCUUUAAAAUAGUAUUUUGCGAUUUUCCGGACAUCUGGCUGCUACUACUUCCUGGUUGAACCACAAUGCAGAGAUUGCCUUAUUGACUCCUUUGUUGUUGUUGCUUUUGAUGAUAUCUGUUGUUAUUCAACACCAAUAGAAACCAAAUGGAGUAAACCUGUUUCAAACGUAAUUAAACCAUGUGCAUUUCUUCUUAUUUUUCGAGAUUAGUGUACGCUGAAAUAAAUCAAAGCAUUCAUUAUUGUUUUUAAGAUGUUCGGGUUCGGUUUAUGGGAAAUUUCGCUGUUCUUUCUAGCAUAUCACUUUACCAAGUAGAGUCCCUCUCCUCGUCUCACUUUUUAGUUUUGCAUAUAUUCGCGUUACAGUAAAAAAACAAAAUAACUUCAUCUCUUAAAUAUAGAACUGUAACUUCAAGGUAAUUCCCUAUCAAUGAUGGCGGGUAUUUCAGUUGUUCGCUCAUCAGAACGAUCAUCAAACUAUAUAAUGUAUGUGGGCGAGUAUUCCAGACUCUUGUUUUUAUGCUGUAAUCUCUCGGUUGCUCCAAACAUUUAAUCAAUGUUUUCUACCUGUGGAUAACUAAAUAUAUUUAUGAACCUUUUUAUUACUCCUUCAUGUCAUCUCUUCUGUCUUUUAGUCAUGACAACAAUAGAUCAUCGUUACUUACUUCCCUCCUCUGAUAACCCCAUCAAAUAGAUACUUUAUCUAAUUCAAAAGUAGAAUCAAAGAGGGAUGCUAAAAUUUCCAGGUACUGUGUACCAGACUUCGUUACAACGAGCCAUGUGCAUAUUUUCAAUGACCUACCGGUACUUUUUCUGCUUUCAUUAGUCAAAUAUUAUUAGAAUAUUUAACUACUUUUUUUUUCUUUUCGUUAGAGUAAAACAAAAAGCGCUGGAGAAUAUCUACCAGAUGUUAUUGCAAGGAAUGGAGCGUUAAUUUACUCGAGUACAAAGAGUUCUUGAUGACGUGACUUUCAUAUUAACAAUGAAAACAUCAAUAUUGUCGAUAAUUGCUAUUAACAAAAAAAAAUUGGUGAAAUAAACAUGUGAGCAUUACGAAAUUAGAAGUAAGCUUUAUAUGAGACAUGUCUGCAGUUGCUGUUUGUUUGGUUGGGAAUGUCCUUAAUAUAUAAAAAUGGAGGUAUGUAUGUGUGUUUGUAUGAAUGUGAAUAUGCAUGUUUUUCUUUGAGAUUAUUUAAUUUCUUCUUUGCAGAAUUCAAUAUGGUCGCUGAUACAGGAAUAAUAUUCUUAUGCUGGAGUUAAGACACCCGCUGGGAUUUGUGAAUAUGUGGAUGAUUAAGUGUGUCCAUAGACGUAUGUGCAUACGUGGCUACACUUGCAUCCAUGUCGUGCGAGAUACAAUAUUCUUUAUAUAUAUAUGUGUGUCUGUGUGUGUGUUUGUGUGUAUGAGUUGUUUGUGCGCGUAUGUGUAUGUGUUUGUGUGUGUGUACGCCUGUGAGUGUGUAUGUGUGUGUAUGUGUAUGUGAUUCGCACACGUGAUUGUGUGCACAAGGUCAUUCAAGAAAACCCAGUUCGAGUAUCCCAACAAUGUUUCACAAAUCUUCAAAUGUAUGUAGGUCUCAACUUACAGCUUAGAAUUCUGGGUCUAGAUAGCUAAAAUCCUGCAUAGUGGCUUAUUUUUCAGAGGAAAAUAAUCAUAGAUCAUUAUCUAUUAUCUUUUGUAUAAAACACAGGCAAGACCGAGAACUUAUGCUUGCUUCAUAUAAUUUCGCUUCAUUCCUAUAAAUCAGAUGAGUUUUCCUUUUUUUUCUCACGGAUCCUUUCCUUCAAUUCCACUUUGGAGUUCUAGAGGCAAAAUGAGAACCACUGUAAACACAGUCACAACCACAAUUUAUAUCAUUACAUUUAUAAUUGAUUUCAAGAGAAAAAACAUCUACGCUGGUAUUGAAAAAAAUUGAAGGCACUUUGGAAAAUUUCGAAUGGGAUAUGCAGAAAAACAGACUAGUCAUAGGUAGAGCAAUUUCGAUCAUGCAUCUUCUCGGCUAACGUUACCCUCAGGACUAAAUACUAAUAUUCACAGCAAUGAGGAUCAUAAUUAUAACUAUAUGUUUAUAGUUCCUUUUCCAGUUCCUUUGGCAAGCUGCUGCUGCUGCUGCUAAUACUACUACUACUACUACUACUACAACCAAUGAUGAUGAUGCUGCUGUUGCUACAGCUGUUGGUCGUGCUUUUGUUGUAGCUGCUGCUAGUUGCAAAUAAAUAGUAUUUUUCCUCUCGUUCUAAGUGGGUAAAACAAUCUCACACAUUAGACUUAAAUAUGUGCCAUAUCUAAAGCAGCACGCGCGAAUUUUUGCUUAUGUAUGUAUGUACGUACGUUUGUAUGUGUGUUUGUAUUAUGUACAUAUGUAUGUAUGAUAUGUAUGUAGAUAUGUAGACGCGCGCUAACAAACUCAGAUACACACACACACACACAUAUAUAUAUAUAUACGCACACAUACACACACACACAUAUAUCGAGACAAGGAUAGAGAGAGGGAAUACAGAGACAGGUUCAAUGUGGUGGAAUGCAUACAAAAUGCAUAUUAGAUGUUAUUUUGUAUUCUGUUAACACUUCAUCGUAGCAGCAGAACAAAGUCGUCAGUUACCGCCCUUUACGAUUCCUGUUGAAAUCCCAUCAGGGUCAAAUUCUGGCAUCGAUAGUAUAACUAUUUCUAUAAGUACUAUGGUUAAUUUUGCCGACUAUACCCAUUUCUUUAAAUUUCAUGCCUAGGGGUAUUUCUUCAGGUUUGAGGUCAAAUUUCGUCAAUCGGGUACGCUAAAGUAAAGUACCAAUCGAACACUGGGGUCGAUAAAAUAAAGUAUCCGUCGAGUUUUGGGCUUAUAAAAUAUAGUAUCAUUCGAGCACCGGGGCUGAAUUCAGCGACUCGUUCUGUUCGCCAAAAUUUCAGGACUUGGGCCUGCAAUGGAAAGAAUUAUUAUUGUUACUAUUGGGACGACAGACAAGCAGAAAUGUUAGCGUGCAGGACAAAAUACUUAGCGUCAUUCUUUCUGGAUUUGCGUUCUGAAUUCAAAUCCCACCGAACUCGACUGUGCCUUUCAUCCUCCCAGAGCCAAUAAGAUAAGUAGAAGUCGAGCACAGGAGUCGAUGUAAUUGACUACCUUCGUCCUCCUCGCACCUUAUUUCAUGCUUUGUCCCUAUGGUAGAGAGAAUUAUUAUUAUAAAAGCGACAAGCUGGCAGAAUCGUUAGCCCAAUGAAUCAAAUGUUUAGUGGCAUUUUUCAGGAAUUUUAAGUUCUGAUUUCAAAGCUUUCACGUUAAAUUUUCUUUUCAUAAAAUGAAUAACAACUAUGCAUAGGGGUCAACAUAAUCGAUUUGUCCAUCCCUAAAAUUACUAACCUCCAACCAGAAUUAUUAUUUUGCAUCAUAUUUUAAACAGAUCAGAUUUAUUGAAGUUUCUAUAGCAUCAAUAGAUUCAUCUACAUAUUCAUGAAGUAUGUGCACCACUCAUAGUCCUUUAGGGAAGCAGCAUUGUGUACUUCAUCAGACUUAUUUUGUUAUAUCUAGUGCUUUUAGUGUUUUCUAUCUUGGGUGAAGCAUGUGCAAUGUUAGUUGCAUUUCUGAUUCAUAUGUGUUCCGUGUGUUCUGAUAUAUUAACAAGUUGCAAGUGCGUAGAAAGUGAAUCGUACGAAUCAUUAUUGUCUUAUAUUGUACAGUUAUUAUGUAAGAGUAUGUGUUGAGUUGAUUUAUUGUGUAAAGUCGAUGCUGUGAAUUAUUGUUCGCUGGUGGUUUCAUAGAAAGUGUUGUUGCAUAGGUUGUGUAAUUAGUAGAUAUUGUUGAGUGUAUGUAACGUAGAUAAACGUUGCCUUUUUCAAGCCUAGCCAGACUCAUGGGCCCGGUUUCUGUGGCGUAUGUGUUCCCUCCAGCUGGACAGGAUGCCAGUCCAUCACAGCGUUACUCAAGAAACAGGAAGAGAGAGUGAGAGAAAGUUGUGGCGAAAGAGUACCACAGGGGUUUCCACCCCCACCCACCCCUACCGGAGCCUCGUGGAGCUUUUAGGUGUUUUCUCUCAAAAACACACACACAAUGCCCGGUCUGGGAAUCGAAAAGAGUGUAUAUCGUUUGCGUUGUGAUAUAAAAUUGAGAAAAUUGUUUGUUCUUGGGUUCUAUCGGCAGAAAUGCUUCAUCAAAUUUAUGUAACAUUGUUAGUCCAGAAAUAGCUUUUAUAAUUUCCUUAAUUUUUUUGUGUGUGUAUUAUCGUUUCCUUUUCUCACUUACCCCACCUAACCUAUUAAUUUCAAUUUAGCGGUUUCUCAUACCAUUUCACCUAUUUGCGAACGUGAAGUACAGAAUGUUUGUUUAUAAGAGUUUCUUUUCUUUCUGAUGUUUUAUGCAGAAUUUGACCACUUUCUUGAAUCAUUGUUUUCUAGCAUCAAAUAUGGAAGAUCUUUACAUUACCAUAAUAUUUUCCCUCUCGUAUAGCACUUCUCAAUUAUUUUGCACUCUUAUAAGAAAUUGAGACUAUAAUUGUAUUCCACAUUCUCGUACUUUUAAUUUCCAGACCUUUUAUGUGCUGUGUUUUUAUUCUUCUCCGCGAAAAUAUUGCUGUCAUUUAGGCAGGACACAUUAAGCAGUCUACAACACCUGGAUUACUUGUUUUUUUAUAUCGAUGGACAGUUAAUUACAUUUAACCUUCUAAAUUGAACUUGCAUAUUCCAGAGUAUCACACCACUUUCAUUUUCUUCAGAUCUCUGGGACAUGCUUGUACCAUUUUCAGAAUCAAGGCUCUUUCUAUACUUACCUAUCUUCUCAUGAAAGCAGAGAAGAAUGUGUCGCCUUCUGACAUAUUCUGUUAGUGGAGAAUCCAUACGAGUGUAAUUCUGUAGUAUGGAGAAUGUGACAUGUAUGUGACCGAUUGUUUUACUUAACACGCAUUAUUCCAGUUUGAUUUCGGUUUUAGAAUAUUCUCUGGUAUAAUAUCUAUUUGGGAGGCAUUGGUUCUUAGUGACAAUCAUUAGGCUUUCCAUUUUCAGUAGUGAUAAUUGAAAUCAAAAGUAGUUUUGUUAUUUGUCACUAUUCCGUUAAUUAAAUUGCUUGGGGUAUAGUCCACGGGGGAUUUAACCCCAUGAUGUGAUGACAUGAUCCAUUAUUCAACUUCUUGCAUAUUCAUUUCGUUCUUGAACUUCAUUUGUUAUACUUCUCGAUUCUCCGCCACACGUGUGUUUAAUGCUAAUUCAGCCUAUAAUUUCAAAGUAUACCUUUUUAGAAUAAAAUUUUCAGCUAAAUAUUUCUGUGCUUAUCGCCAACAGACUGCAGCAUUUUAUCUUUUCUUUUUGUCAUACCUAGCAAUUUCCAGAGAUGGUUGCCUUGUAUUCUUUGGGAGAAGUCUGUCCCCGUACUAUAUAUACCAUACCAAGUUGUACACGGGUCCUUUCUCCAAUUUUGCUAUGGCUAAAUAUUCGAUAUCUAGGAGCUCAAACUUUUAUUUUUGUUGCUAUUGUUGUUGGUGUUGUUUGUUUGUUUGUUUCUUCAAAUUUUGUCUAAUAUAUUUUUGUUUUCCAGUGAUCAUUGCGUGCCUAACAGACUCUAAACGCCAUACUGAUGUUGCAGCUGUAAAGUCUUGCAAUCUGGGAAAUAUUUAUAUGGAAUAUAUUUUGAUAUAAUCCAUACAAAGUGACCGCUUAUAUCCCUGCAACCAUGUAGAGACUUCGUGCACAUUUUACAGAACAAUAUCAGUAUAAAAGUGGCUCAAUUAAUGGGCCAAUAUCUGAGACAAUAAAAGUAGUGUAAGCGAAUUUUCUUGGAAUAUUCUCGUUAUCAUAUGCAUGGUAUUAGAUUAUAAAACACUCUCUUUCUGAUGAAGCCUCAUGCUAGUUUUUCCAUUCUGACGCAAUCACUGAUGUCUUUUUUGACUCAAGAUUUCAUGAAAAAAAGUAUUGUCGUGUUCUUUGUGUUUUGUCUAUCUAAGCUAAAUAUGUAGGUUCUUAUGUUUCUAACUGUAAUCUUCUAAACUUAUUUAACAGUUGUUGGUUUUUAAAAGCAUGUGAUCCUCUUCUGCAACCCUAAUGUGCUUCAAGGAAGAUUAUUUCCGUUGAAAUGUUGGUAUAUCUUCCUAUUAUUAUUGACUUUAAUGUGUAGUAAAAGUUUAAAUGGUACAUGAAUGGCUCGAAAUAGCUCAUGACUUUAAGGUUUAUCAGUCUCAAAGAUAAAAAAAAUAUUGUUUCUGUUUUGCAUCAGUCCCUCUGCUAUUUGAGAUGUAUCUCUAAAUAAGCAGAUGCUUACUAAAGCAUAUGCCAUAUUUUGGUGAAGAUAUGUAAGUGGCGUAUACAGAAAUUUUAGAUUUAGUCUCCUGGUAAUUUUCACUUACUUUCUCUUAUCAUGUUUUCUUUUAUAUUUUCCACUCUGAUAUAUUCCCAUUUUUGUGGUGCCAAGCGUUUUAAUAUUUAUUUCGUUCUUUGGCUUAACUCAUUUGUUUUAUCGAACUUUUCUACUUUCUGUAUUCUCCUACAAAUUAACACUACUUUGUACUUUGUGCAGUGGAUUCUCUACUUCUAUUGUUUUGUUGUUUCCCUCUAAAGAUUUUGUUUUAUCUCCUCAAAACUUUGUUUUAUUUGACUUCUAUGCUCUGCUUUAAAAUUUUCCACGUCACCAACACAUUUUAGCUUCAUCCUUUUGAGUUUACUUUUUGAGAUCUCCAGAUCCUGUUCGUUUUGAAUUUUAAACUUUCUGUGUAAAUGCUUUUCUUGUGUCUUUGUUUCAUGUUUUAAUUAUUCAAGUUAAAUCUUUUUAUCUUGUGAUUUAUCACAUGUUGAAUAUUUUGUUUCUGAAUAGAACCUGCUUUUAGUUUUCUAGUUUUUCCUUUUAUUUCAACGUAAAUAUGUUUUUAAUACUGAACGCAUUGUGGAAUACACAACUUGGUUUAAAACCAUUACAUCAAUUUCCUUUAUUUGCUCUGUAAUCGUUUCUAAUGCACAGUUAGUUUGACUACGUUUCUCCAUUUUUAGUGUAUUUUUACCCAUCUUCUUUACAAUAAUUUGUCAUGAAUUUCUAUAAGUUUAUCUCCUCAGACUUUUCUAUAAUUUCAUCUAUGGUAUUUUCUACGCUCCUGCAUUCAUAUAUUUAUACCGAUAUUAAUUGUUUGUCUUAUUAUUACUUGUCAAUGUUAGGUUUCGAGCUGCCAUUUCCUUGUUUACCAUAUUGAGCUGUUUACAAUCAAUUCUGCUGUGGCCCCUGUUUAUACUGUACUCUGUUGUCAUGUGGGUUGUGCUCUAUGUAUAUAUAUACAUAUACCUAUCUUUGCCUUAGUAAUCGCUUUUUAUUUUUCUGUGAAGGACAUUUUCUUCGGCGGUUCUUGAAAUAAAAUGUCUCAUUUGUUCAUCUGUUUUUCUCCGUUCAUUUGUGGGCGAAACUCUAUUGAUUUUUUGUCAGAUUUUGUAAGCAGAUCUUCUGAUGUAACCUUAGGGUGUGAUUUGGGAGUAAAUAAGGCCUUCGAGUAGCAUCUAUCUGUCCAGCUCAUUCGCGUGUGAGUGUAUGUGUGUGUGCAUGAGUGUGUGUAAGUGUUUGUCUAUCGCUUGCAUGUUUGUGUGUGAGAGAAAGUGUGUGCUGGUUAUUUUGACUUAGCAACACGUACACAUACGUGGUGAGAUUCUCCUUCGUUUUUUUUUCUUUUUUAAAUGUUUUGAGAGAAUCCUGUUAUUAUAAACAAAAUAAGAAUGAAUACAGAAUUUUGUUUGAAAAAAAAAUAUAUAACAUUUAUAUUACAUUUCUGUAGCGAAAUGGAAAUAUUGAAAUCCUUGCUGAUCACAUAUUUCUUCCUCAGUAGUUUAGAGAGGAUGGUAAUGAUGUGCGGGUGUGGAAUAAGCAGAUAAGAUGUGCAAAUAAUUACCAUUAAAAUGAACACCAAAGCUGUACUUGCAGUUAAUAACGUCUUUAAGAAAUAUAAAUUUCCUCUAAACUAUGUGGAGUAUUUAAAAGUAUAUAAAGAUCUCAAGAAAUGUUUUUAAAAACUAAACAUUCGUUUUGGCAUCACAUACAUUCAUUCUAAGAAUUGUUUUCAUUUCUAUUAGUACCGGAAUAUUUGUUCAUAACCUUAAAGUUGUCUUAUUUUUAUCUGUACCAUUGUCGAUGUGUUCAAACAUUUUCGUUAUGUUACUGUUGAAUUUCUUCUGUAACUAUGAAACUUGGAAUGAGCCUUUUUCCUGUACCUUGAUGUGUUCACUGAGAUCCAUAUAUUACUGCAAUUUGUUACUUAGCGGAACCACGCGAGUCUUAGGGACAUGUACUAUGAUAUUCGUAAACCUCCUUUUGGUUCUGAGUUCAAAUGCUGGCAAGGGUAUGUUUGCCUUUCAUUCAUUCGGAAUCGAAGGAUCAAAUAGCAAAUAAGUAUUGAUGUCGAUGCUAUCGACUGACUACUUUGCCUGAAAACUGCAGUUGCUGUGACUAAAUUAGAAGCCAUUAUUAUAAUUCUGGGUCACUGUUUUGUAGGGACAUUGAAACAAAUCGACACAAUACUCACUUUCUUUCAGGCACUCAUCCUGUUGUUGCCUUUCAGCGAAGAACUAAGUUACGGAUAAUGAUGAUGAUGAUGAUGAACCUCCUCCUCAUCAUCAUCAUUAUUAUUCUUAUUGUUGUUGUUAUUACUUGAGGCGCGUGCUGCCAGAGUUGUCAGCAACACCGGGUAAAACACUUAGCAGCAUUCAGUUUGUCUUUACGUCCUAAGUUCAAAUUCCGAUGAAGUCGAUUUUACCUUUCAUCCUUUUGGCGUCGAUAAAAUGAGUACCUGUUCAACACUGGGGUCGAUGUAAUCGACUAAGCCUCUCCCCUGAGAAUUGCAGGUCUUGUACCAAAAUUUGGAAGUACUACUCCUCCUACUACUACUACUACUACUACUACUACUACUACUACUACUAUACAACAGCGCAUGACUCUUGCUCUCUGUGCCAUAGAAUAAUGUCAGAGCUUUUAUGCAUGAACCGAAUUACUGUUUUUAUUGAGGUGUUGCACCAGUAUUCCUUGUUCUUUCAAGAUGUGAAUACCUGCUGGUUCUGACAUACCUUUCAUUUUUACAUGAAAGUCCUUCCUACAGUUAACAUUGUAAAUAUUCUUUGCAACUAUAUCACAUGUGUGUGUGUGUGUGUGUGAAUGUACUAAAUUGUUGGACACGAAAGAACUGAUCGAGUAGACUUAUGACCGAUUCCAUAGCAGUCAUUGACUUUACAGUCAAUCUAAUUCGCUGUGGUUAUCCUUCACAAUUUAAGCAUUUUGUUACAUAAGAAACUAAUAUAAUACAAGUGCUAUAAUUUUUGUAAAAGACGUAAGAAUUUGACACUGCGACCAAAUUCUAUUGUAUUUGAAAGAGUUCCCUUCAUUUGACUGUAUUUUCCUUCAUCCAGUUCAUUAUUGUCUUAGGAAAGCACUUUUCUGAGAUAUAAAUCACAAUGAUGCUUCAGUUAAUAUUAUAGUCAUCGCAUUAAUUUUCAUCAUUACGAUUAUCCUCCUCCGCCUCAUUAUCAUCGACAUCACAGUUCCCUUCCCUACGAGGAUUUAUUUCUAAGCCUCAUCAAUGUUAAUGGUGAAUACGCAUCCACACAUGCACACACUCAUACAUUCACACAUAUUAAACCGAGGACGAAGGGGACAUGCAAUGAGUGACAACAGUGUAGACAGAGGAUUUCGGAAAUGCUAGUGUCACUGUGGGUUCUGUUGCAAUUGUGUGGGUACUGUCACAUCUGAGAUAAUGGAGCACAUGGCUGUGGAAUGCAAGUACAACGUCAACGUCAUUAACUGUGAUAACUUAGAAAAGAUUUGAUAACUUAGAAAAGAUUUCGUAAUGUCUAACUUAACAGCACUAAAUUGAUUCGUUUUUAAGUCUUUAGAGCUCACUGAGGUAGGGAGUUGCUGUUUAUCAAGAUUUAUUCACGUGACGAUCGUUAGUCUUAUAUUUCUCAGAAGAAUUUGUCCGGGUACCGUUGGAAUAUGGAGAAUAUUACUUUCGAAACAUUGUUGUCAGUCAGGAUAGAUUGAGGUAAAAAAAAAAAAACUUGUGUCGCAAUAUUUUGUAUGUUACGUAGGAUCAAAUUUUGUAGAGUGUACAUGGCUCUGGAGUAAUACAUAAUACUGGGAUUGUUGGAACAGGACAGAUGGCUAGAGUAUUUUCCACAUUGUACAGAUAAUGUGGCAACACCGAAUGUAAUGCAUUUAGAGCUAUCUGACGCGAUCCUUAUUCUCAAAUGGUCUCAUGGCAUUUAAUUAGCUGCCAUCGUGUUUAAAUUCUCAUAAUGUUUCGUUGUGUGCAGGAAAACUUAGUGGACAUCAAUAUGCAAUAUGAGACCUGGAAAACGUGAGUAAAAGCGUAAAGAGUGAACGAGAGACACAGAGAAAGCGGUAUGUAUUCGAAAGCAAUAUCUACAGGUAUUGGGAAAUCAGUACUAUGACCGCUGUGCUUCUUAAACUAUAUUUCAAAAGACAUCUUUAAAUGUUAUAUAUAAACAUAAAACAUAUGACAUAUGUAUGUCUGUGUCCUCGUGCAUAUAUUCUCUUUCACUGUCUGCGCGUGUGUGUGUAUUUAUAUUUGUACAUUCGUACAUAAGUAAUGCAGAAGGAGGGUGUGUGUGAGAGAGAGAGAGAAAGAGGUGAGUGUGUUUAUAUAUGUAACAUGUAUUUCGCGUUCAAAUACGUCUAUUGCAAUAGUGAUGGCUUUGUCAGUUGUUAGUACGUAUGCAUUUUAUACAAAAUAGGUACUAUUAGCAGUUCAUAAAUUGUUUGAACUUAGCCAUAUAGCAGCCUCUAAGUAUGUCGUACAGGUGUUUGAAAAACCCCAAAUAACAGUGAUUAUCUAUAAUUAGUAGUCAAAAAUGUCCAUACGGACUUCUUUAAGAUAGAACGAGCAACGUAACUUCAAAACAAUGAGCUAGCUGAAAUUUUGGUAAGCAAAGUCAAAUGGAAAUAGAAAUGUUGGAAUUUAUUUUACUUUUACAGAUAAUUUAUGAAACCAAAAAACAAUUAUAUCGUCUUACAUCUAAUCUAUCUACUUGGUAAGAAUUUGGAGGGAUCCGCAUGUAUGUGUGUAUGUAUAUGUAUGUAUGCAUGCACGUAGGUAUAUAUAUUUCAUAUAUUAUGCAAGCCUUAUAUGUCGGUCUAUUUGUAUCAAAACAGAAGACUUGAAAAUUCAGUAUACUUCUAAUUAAAUGUUACAUAACUUUCGUUAAAGGAUAGGAGUUACAAAGAUAUAUGCGUGUAGAAUCUCCUAUUCGUAAUUCUUCAGAGAAAAACUCAAAAAUAAUACAAAGUUUUACGAGAAGUUGUAAUUUAUAGUUAUAAGAAUUAAGCAGUAUAUUGAGAGAUACAGGGAAAAUUGGAGAAGAUAAAAAUUAUACUGUUCAGAGGAUGAGUGAAGUAUAUAAAUAUGCAUGUAUGCUUGCACACACACGCACACACACACACACACACACACACACACACACACACACACACACACAUAUAUAUAUAUAUAUAUAUGCACGUAAGUGUAUAUACAUAUCUAUCUAUCUAUCUAUCUAUCUAUCUAUCUAUCUAUCUAUCUAUCUAUCCCUCUCUCUCUCUCUCUCUCUCUAUAUAUAUAUAUAUAUACACACACACAUACAUAUAUAUGUAUACGAAUAUAUACAUACACAUAUACACACGAACGCAUACGCACAUAUACACCCAUAUACACGCACACUCGUACAAAUACAUAUGAGUAGGGAAAGUUGUGACAUGAUUAUAAAUAUUUACAAUAUGGCUGGCUUCAAAUAUCUCACGGAACCGUUCAGUAUGCUGCAUAACUUGCAGCAGAGCCAUAUAAGACGUAUUGUAAGCUUAAAAUUUCGUUAAAUGUGUGUCUGUAAGGUAAGUGCGUGUGUGACUGCACGUGUGCAGAUACAUAGAAACGUGCAUGUAUGCAUAGUAUUGUUUCUUAUCGAUUGUGUGUCCAGGUACGUGAACUUUUAUAUACGUACAAAACAAAUUUCAUAUAUUUUAUAAUACAAAUGGCCAUAACAGAAUUACCCAGAUUGAUUACAUCGAUACAUAUAUAAGUCUUUUGAUAUUUGUCAUAAAUGAUUAUUCAAAAUCGUAUUCAAAUAAUUGAUAUUAAACUUAUACUGAUAUUUUCAACUUUGUCUCACUCUGUCUAUCUGCCUGUCGGACUGUCUGUCUGUCUGUCUGUCUCUGUCUGUCUGUCUCUCUCUCUCUCUCUCUCUCUCUCUCUCUCUACACACACACAUAUAUCUCAUAUAUUCCUUAAAUGUGUGUGGUUGUUUGUGUUUUGAGGGAUAUAUUAUCCAGGCGGAUACCUUUGUGGUUCUUAGUUAUGUCUCAGGUUACGAGUAACCGCCAUCGAUUAGAAUUUGACGUUUGUAACUAGAAUGAGUUAUCACUCACGCUGUAAACUCAUCCGAGGGGUAAUUCAGUGUUCGCUUCAAUAGCUGGUAAUAUUAAAUGGAGUGCCCAUAGCCCAUAAUUAUGACCAUAGAGGAUAUGGAGUAUAUAUUAGCAAUAAUUAUGUUAAUAGCUAGUCCAGCCGUUUGAAAGACCCUGAACAAUGCUGUACAGCGUAUUAUGCUCGGUUGCAUGUGCAACUGCCCAUGCUCUGUGCAGCGGAAACACGUGUAGGUCGUCAUAACCAUAAGAAUAGGCUGUGUGAAAUGAAAGAUAAAAGGAAUUAAAUGUUGUGUAUGUACCAGUCUCCAUAUUCUCUAUCAUCAUAAUUAUUAACAAAAUAUAAAGUCUGUAUUAUACAAUACAAAACCUACUGGCUUCUUCUUGGAGAUGUAGCCAAACCCAUGUGAAUGUUUCCAUAUUCCAUUACUAGGUCAUGUGGUGAUAAGCGUUUGAGAGGCUCUUGUAUCUAUAGUUUUGGUUUAGGAUAUGUUUACUUGUGCAUUUGUGCGUUUUAGUUUGUGAACAUGCGUGUAUAUACAUAAUGGUGCUAUAUAAAUGACGUAGUGUACACAUCCUGAUUCGGAGAUAGGCAGGCACAGAUUCUCAUACGGUUUCACAGAUACAUAUACACAUGCAGGUGAAUGUCUGUAUAUAUAUAUAUAUAUAUAUAUAUAUAUAUAUAUAUAUAUAUAUAUAUAUAUAUAUAUAUAUAUAUAUAACGGCAAGCUUUAUGAAAAUAGACAAAAGACGAAGGCAGGUGGGAAACAAACAAACAAUUGUAUUAGUAUGGCGCUCAGGAAAUAUAAAUAAAACAAGUCUUUAACGUUUCGAGCCUACGCUCUUUAACAGAAAGAUACACAGAGAGAAAAAAACAGAAAGAAGGAGAGAAAAAAAAUGCGUGCAGUAACUAACGAAUCAACAUGGCGAUCUGAUUUCGGCCAGAGGUCAAAGAUCAAACAUGAGACGCGAGAGCGAAAUAAGGGGAGAUAAUAGGGUUGAUAAUAGGGUUGAAUGACCAGCUAUUAGUGCGUAUGAGAGGUCUGGACGUGUGUAUGUAUAGGGUUGGUGUAUGUAUUAGUAUGUAUUAGUAUGUAUAAGGGUGUGUGUGUGUGUGUGUGUGAGAGAGUAUUAGUGCGUAUGAGAGGUCUGGACGUGCGUAUGUAUGGGGUUGGUGUAUGUAUUAGUAUGUAUUAGUAUGUAUUAGUACGUAUUAGUAUGUAUAAGUGUGUGUGUGUGUGUAUGAGAGAGUAUAAGUGCGUAUGAGGGGUCUGGACGUGUGUAUGUAUAGGGUUGGUGUAUGUAUUAGUAUGUAUUAGUAUGUAUUAGUACGUAUUAGUAUGUAUUAGUAUGGCACAUCAUAUAUGAUGUGAUGUGUAAAGUCGUGUGGUGUAGUGUGGAGAGAGGGGGAGAGCGUGGAGAGGGUGGAGAGGGUGGAGAGGGGGUAGAUGAGAGGAGGGGGAGAGGGGAGAUAGAGGAGGGGGAGAAGGAAGGGGAGGAGGAAGGAGGAAAGAGGGGGAGGGGGAGAGAGAAGGGGAGUGAGGGAGCAGAGGGAAGGGGAAGAGGGUAGGAGGGAGGGAGAAAGAGGGAAGAAGGGAAGGGGAGUAGGGGUCAAAGGAUGAAGGACUGAAGAAGUAGGGGUCGGGGGGGAUAGGUGAGGAGGGGGGAGAGGGGGGUUAGAUGAGGAGGUGGGGGGGGGAGAGUUGAGACCAAAUGGCGUAUAAGAGCGAAGAGAGAAGAUUAAUUCCUGUUCACGGCGCAAACGGGAAUCCGAAUGGCCUCUGUGUAAGGACAAACCGAACACAGAUAGGUGUUGCAAGGAGUGACCGGUGGAGCGGAAAUGGCGUGAGACCGGUGUGUCGUUCGCAAGGUGGAUGUCACGAAGGUGUUCCGCGAACCGGUCAGCCAAGCGGCGUCCCGUUUGUCCGAUGUACAAGGAAUGGCAGAGAGAGCAAGAGACGCAAUAGAUAAUAUUGCUGGAGGUGCAGGUGAAGGAGUGGAUGAUGGGAUUGGGUCGAUGGUGGGUGCUAGUGAGGAGGGUGGUGUUGGAGAGGUAAGGGCAAGUGCGGCAACGUGGGCGGGAGCAGGGGAACGAGCCGGGUUGGGAGGUAGGGUCAGGGAAGGAGCUAUGGACCAAAAGGUCUCGAAGGUUGUGGGCUCGUUUGAAAGAGGGGAGGGGUCGGUUAGGGAAGAGGUGUGAAGUGGACGGGUCGGACUGGAGAUGACGGAAAGCUCGAAGAAUGGUGCGUUGGAGACGUAGGGUCGUGGGGUGGUAAGUGAGGGGAAAAGGGAGGCGGGAGACUACAGGGCGGGUUCGGGGAGAGAGAGCAGAUACACGGUCCACGGACCGUGCUCUGGCAAGGGUGGUGUGGAUAGUGGUGAGGGGGUAUCCACGUAGGGUGAAGUGGUGAGCCAUACGUUGAGACUGAGUCUCAAAGUCCUGGUCGUCACUACAGAGCCUACGUAGACGGAGGAAUUGGGAAUAGGGGAUGGAAAGCUUGGUGUGUUCUGGGUGGGAGGAAGAGAAGUUGAGGUAUGAGUGUGAGUCUGUGUGUUUGUAGUGAAUGGAGGUGGUAAGAGUGGAGUGAAGAAUGCUAACCGAAAUGUCGAGGAAGGAGACAGAGGUGUUGGAGAUAGUGGAAGUGAAGUGGAGGGCUGGAUGGAAAGAUUGGACGAAAGAGAGGAAGGAAUCUAGAUGUUCACGGGAGAGUGAGGUGGCACCGAUAAUGUCGUCAAUGUAACGACCAUAUAGUUCAGGAGUGGGACCAGUGAAAUUAGAGAAUAUUUGGGCCUCAACAUAGCCAACGAACAGGUUCGCAUAGUUGGGGCCCAUUCGCGUUCCCAUGGCCACUCCCGAGACCUGAUGGUAGAACUCGCCCGCGAACGAGAAGCAGUUCAGAGUAAGGACAAGUUCGGCCAGACGAAUGAGUGUGGAGGUGUCAGGUACAGGGUUGGAGCGGAGGUCAAGAAAGUGUCGAAGGGCCUGCAGUCCUUCGUGGUGAGGGAUAACAGUAUAGAGGCUUUGGAUGUCCAUAGUAAAAAGGAUUUUGGAGGAGCCGGGAGGAAAGGAGAAAGAGUUGAAAAGCCGGAGAGCAUGGUUGGUAUCGUGGAUGUGGGAGGGAAGAGAUGCCACAAGGGGGGCAAGGACACGGUCGAGGUAUUUAGAGAUGAGCUCCGUGGGGCAGUUACAGGCGGAGACGAUGGGGCGGCCAGGGUUGUUGGGUUUGUGGAUUUUGGGGAGGAAGUAAAUGGUGGGGGUACGUGGGGUUCGCACAAUUAGGUAUAUAUAUAUAUAGAGAGAGAGACAGAGAGAGAGGGGGGUAUUCAUACACACAUACACGCAUGCAUGCAUUCAUACAUAUAUACAUAUAUGUAUACAGACAUACAUAUACACACAUGAACGCACACACACAUACACAACACACACACACAUAUAUAUAUAUGAGACAAGGAACAGCGUUAUCUAAUCACUUUGAUUACUAUAGAGCUGUUUCUGCUGUAAGAUGCUGCAUGGGCCAUCAUCAUUGCAUACAACGGUUUUCAUAAUAGAAACGGAUGUAAGGUAAUAAACCUGAUCACAUAACUGCUGUGCUAUUGCAUUUUCUAAUUGAUACUAAAUUCUAUACUUUACGCUGCUAUAUAAGUGUAUGUGGCAAUCUAAGAAUUAUGCUUGGUACCAAGGAACUUUAUUCAAUUAUGUGUACGUAUACAAAUGCACGUGCACACAUACUCUCACACACUGACAUACACUCAUACAUAUAUAUAUAUAUACAUACUUACAUAUAGAUAGAUAGAUAGAUAGAUAGAUAGAUAGAUAGAUAGAUAGAUAGAUAGAUAGAUAGAUAGAUAGAUAGAUAGAUAGAUAGAUAGAUAGAUGUGGUUACGUACAACUCAAUAUAUAUGUGUGUGUGUGUGUAUUUAUAACAUACUAAUUUAUGAUUGUUUGAUUGUUCCAAGUUUGUUAGUCAACUAAGUAACUUGAACUCCCAUGAAUACAAUGAUUUAGCAAGUCGCUUAUAAUUUCUCGGUGAUGGUAUCACUCUACGUCAGCCAUGUUUGAAACCAACUAUAGCGAAAGAAUUCCAGGGAAGACUUUUCUAUCAUGUGAUAUUAGUCACAACACGCAGUAUUAUCCUCUAUGUUUUAUUUUUAAUGCGAAAAAGGAUUAUGGAAGGGGAGCUUUUCUGCUCUACAUAGGAAAAAUAUCGUGCAUGAAUAACUCUUACUAACUCGUUUUAUAUGUGAUAAUAUGUUGACCUCCUCCAGUCAUAUAACACUUAAGCAAAAUGCAAUUAAUGAGAUUUUGAGAUGUUCAUACUUUUCUAAAAGCAACAUUUUCAGAAUUUGUUACGUUCUAUAGCUUCACAGACCAUUCUCGGGUGUUCUUCGAGAAAAAUUAGUAUUGAUCGAUAAUUCAUUCAUUUUGCAAUUAUACUUUUGAACGUUCACAAAAUAAUGUAUUGGAAUAUAAAGAAUGCAAAUGAGACCAUGUCGGUUAUGAUCCAUCAACUGUUUGAUUGAUCUAUUUCUGAUAUAUACAUAUUUACAUAUUUGCAGAUAUUGCGCUAGAAAGAUAUAUAUAUAUAUAUAUAUAUAUAUAUAUAUAUAUAUAUAUAUAUAUAUAUAUAUAUAUAUCCACACACUCAGUGCUGAAACAUAUAUAAGGAUAAAAGGAUAUAUAUCAUAACUUAUUAUAUUAUAUAUUAUCCAGUAGGUAUGUGUUUGUGUGUGAGAGAGAGAGAGAGAGUUUAUGUAUGUAUAAAAUAUUUAAGGAUAUAUAUGUUAUACUUACAUAAAUAUAUAUGCAUAUAUAUAUAUCUAUAUACUGUACAUGCAUGUGUGUGUGUGUGUGUGCAUGCAUACAUGGGGAAAGAGAAGGAGUGGGAUAGUACGCGAGAGAUUAGGGUGUAUAGCAGAAUCAGUAAAGCAUUGGAAAAGUGCACAGUGGCAUUUAAUUAUGCCCAUAAAUGUUCUCAGUUCAAAACACAUCCAAAUCUUCUUUGAAUUUAUCUUCAUGCAUGCUAAUUCAUAUUUGUCACUCUGAUCACAGAGAAGCAAAAAGAACACUUAAAAACACGGAAAAAUUAUUCAAAAUCUGAAAUCGAAUUUUUAUACAUUUUAUAAGUUGUAUGGCAAUCUGGAUGCCUUAGUCUUCCUACUAAUAUUUCUACCCAAUUAUUUAUUGACAUUACCAAUUUUUAAUAAUUGUAAGUCCGUUAAAAUAUAUACAGGGCACAUGGAUUUUUUCAAGUCCUGAGAGAAAUUUAAAUUAAUAUAGCCGCUCGAAAAUGUAUGGACUUGUUGCAUGACUUAAAAACCAAUAUCCAGAAUUGUUGAUGCUCUGGAAAAAUCGUAAGUGCAUCAGACAAAAUACUCGCUGUAUUUCCGGAAGAAUUUUAACAUUUUCAUUUCAAACAACAUAGAGACCAAAGUUACCAUUUAUUCUUCCAGGAUCAAUGAAACGAAUAUGUGGUUGAGAUGCUUUACAUUCUCAGUUCAAAUCUUGGCAGGGUCAACCUUUUCUCUUUCCUUUCUAGGUUGGAUAAAAUGAAUAUAAAAUGGAUGUUUAAUUAAGAACCUUUAAGUUCUUAGUUUAAAUUCCAUCGGGAAUAACUUUGUCGUUUAUCAUUCUAGAACUGACAAAAUGAACAGGAUUAUUUAUAUAAAUACGAAAUGAAAUUAUAACAGGAAACAAAGGUAAUGAAAUAGAUUCGUAGAUCAUCGAACAAAAUACUCAUUUAGUGGAAGGAUCUUUCAGAUCUUAGUCGAAAUACCAUCAAAAGCUUCAGUGUUUUUGAUCCUAUCUAUACAUAUAUAUAGAUACUCGCAUACACACAGGUACAUGUACAAAUAACAUGCACACACGAAUAUAUUAGCAUAUACACAUACCUACAUAUUCAUACAUUGAUACAUACAUGCAUACAUACUAAAAACAUGGACAUGAAAUGUUGCCUCUCCAGAACUAUUCCAAAAUUCCCACAAGAUACUAAAUUCUAAUAUAACAUUUUUGCUAACACCACUUCUAACGCUAUCCAAAAGAACUUUCAUAUGUAUCUGAACCAAAAUGUAUCCACACAUUUAAAAAGGAGGAAUACACUCGUUGAUAAUUCCAAUGAAUGAAGAUUCAUAUAUGCAUGUACGCUUGUAUGCAUACAUACAUAUAUGUGUGUAUUGAAUAUAUAUAUAUACUUUUCAUAUAUUGAAGGAAAACACACAUUUUCAGAUAUAAAUUGUAAUAAUUGCGGGAUCGUUUUAGAAAAGGUAACGCGAUUUGAAUAUACCGGAUACAGGGGAAUGACCAAAUACUGCACGUUAGUUUUCCGUUAUGCUUCCGAUUGUGAUACAACUCAGCUAUAAAAUAAUUGGAUAUUUGAACCAAACAUAAACCAGUGAAAUAUAACAGCUAUUUCCUUUUAUACAAGAGAAUUGAAGUGAAAUACUUCUAUCAUACAGUCUAAAAUAUAUUUCAAAUAAUUUUCGUCACCCGGAGAAUCUUAGCACUUCUCAACAACACAAAAGCAUUAAACAUUUUUUUUCUCUAGGCAAAGAGCAAACGUUUGAAGAUUAAAGAUAUUGAUAUUAAAAUCGGCGUAAAAAAUCUAAAUAUUUUACUAGUAAAUUUUCAUCGGCAGAAAUGGAGAUACUAGGAUUUUUUAGUUGGUUUGUGAAUCAUCGUUUCUUUUAAAUCAUUGUAAUAGAUACAAAACUAAUAUUCCUUUCUUUUAUCCAAAGAGUCUAUUGGUAAAGAAAGUUCAAGAGUUACUGAAACCGACUUCAUUAUAAUACGUGUACACAUAUUACUGAAGAGGGGUGACGAAUAACAAUGUUGCACCCAAUCAUGAUUUCAUUUUAUAAUGAAUGUAAAGAAUUCAAUAUUUAGUUUUGCGAUGUUAGCCAGCAAAAUUUCUUUUGAAUUACCAAAGUAAUCGGUACUCCUGCACACAACAUUCUACCGUCUCAAAAAAUGGGUGAAUCACACUGAAUAAUGUGGUCUUAAAUAAUGAUGAGUGAAAGAAAAAAUAGGUUGGAAAGAUGAAGGCUGGAAUGACUAGUGGUAUAUCUGAAAGAUAAGCACUGAAAUAUCUAGGCUAUAUCGUGUUGAAAGCACCGGUGAUAGUUCGAUCAGCGAAGUUAAGUAAUGUCGAGUGUAGUUAGCACUUGGAACCCUAGGUGUUGUAAGCAUAUCACUUAAUGCACACAAGAAUAACUCUGUUAAGAAAUUUGCUUCCUAAUCACAUGGUCUGAGUUACAUUCCCACUGAGUGGCACCUUGGUGAGAGACUUCUACUAUAACUCCAGGUUAUAUCAAUGUUUUUUGAGUAAAUUUGGCUGAUGGAAACUGAAAGAAAUCCCCUCCCUCUCACUCUCGCACACACGCAUACACACACACAAACACACACACACGAACGCACUCACACACACACGCAUAAACACGCGUAUGUAGUAUAAUAUAUAUAUAUAUAUAUAUAUAUAUAUGCAUAUAUGCAUGUAUGUAUUUUUGUAUGGAUGGGUGUAUAUGUAUAUUUCUUUAAAAUCAUUGUAAUAGAUACGAAACUAAUAUUCCUUCCUUUUGUCCAAGCAGACUAUUGGUAAAGAAAAUUCAAGAGUUAGGCGGUCAUUUCAAAAUGUAACUGCGUGUGUAUCAUUGGCGAUUUACUUCCUCCCUCUUCCGUUCCUUUGGACUUACCUUUAUUUCUGACGAAGAUCUUGGCUCGAAACGUUAAAUCCUCUUUUCUUUCUUUUCUGAGCGUUAUUGUUUUUUCUUGUUCGUUUUUCUUUGUUUGGAUUCAUUAUGUGUAUGUAUAUAUAUAUAUGUACAUCCAUAUGUAUGUAUAUGUAAUAUAUUUGCAUGCAUUUGUGUGUGUUGUGUGCACUGUGUGUGAGUAUGUGUGUGUGUGUGUUUGUGCAUAUAUUUAUACCCGAACACCACUAUUGGUUUAUUUACAUCACUUACUGGUUCGGCAAAAGAAACCGUACACCAAUUAUUAGACUUUAAAAAUUAAGUGGCGUGGAAGGUUUGUUCUACUAAACCCUUGAAGUCGAUGCCCCAGUAUGGUCGCAGCACCUUCAGUGAUACUUUCCGGCUCCGUGUGUGCACCUGCUCCGCUUUCCAUGGAAUAAGAAGAGCAAGAGCACACGCGAAGUCAGUAAGUAUCGCUGAAGAGGUCACAGAAGUGUGACGAAAGAUUUCCGGUCAAAAAAAGUCUAUCCCGAAAUACAGCAUAUAUAUAUAUAUAUAUAUAUAUAUAUAGAUUUCCCUUGGGGGCUGCCCAGGUCGGAGCAAUCUCAAGAUUAAUCAGCCGAAAUUGCGAAGAUGAUCCGGUUCUUGACUGAUGACUGAGGGCUUCGAAUGUCCUGUCCUGUGGGUCUUGUGUCGUCUUCUAGGUGUUUCACGUUCUUGUCCCAGUUUGUAUAUAUUUUUUACUUUUUACAUAUAUAUAUAUAUAUAUAUGUAUAUAUAUAUACAUAUAUAUAUAUAUAUACACACACAUACAUACAACAUACGGCGUGCAUACACACACACAUAUGACACCUUAACCUAAUGUAUAUAGGUGCAGAGGCUCGGUUAAAAUGCCUUUUUGAACGAUUUCUUCCACAAUUAUGUCUAAUACUCCAACUUAAUACAGUAAGUGUUUUACGUCUUCUGUUAUAAGUAAAAACACCUUUUACUUAACAUCUUAUCUCUCUUCAGAUAGGAUUACAAGAUGUAUUAUACACCAGUUGGAAUUUUGCUUAUACAAUCAUGUCUGAUAUUGAUAACGGCAACACAAAUACUGAUACCAACAGAAGCAGUACAACGACGCUUGAAAGCUAUUUAAGACGCCGUAUAUACUCUUCUAGCUGCAGCAGACUUUUACGUUUAAACCAUAAUCUCCCACUGCACUAUUAAAAGGUUCCAGAUGACACUUCUAUCGGCUACAUGAAGCGAUUAUAAAUACUGGUCGAAGUUUACUCAAACUUCUGUAACGGAAAACAGCUUCGGCCAGAAACAUCAUUUAAAUAUAUAUAUAUAUAUAUUAAUGAUAGCUAUCACAGCAAUUGUGAUAGCAAACUCACGAGAUGCUAUCAGAUUUUCUCAAAAUACUGAGAAACAGUAAUUUUUUGUCGUACUAGAGGUCGUUAAUAAUGUCAGCAAACCACUUCGGCCAUCAAUAAACACCCGCGUGUCUUCUCAUAUAGCUUAUUCGCCAAAGACGACUGUGAAAUAUAUUCAACUUACGAAGACCACUCAUAAGGGGAUUAAAGACACAAUCAGCUAUUCAAAUGUUAAAUGUCAUUGAUGGUGUUACUAGAAAGCACACGCAAUUAUAGGAUGAAAAUUACUGGAUAAUUAUUACCUUCCUACACACAGCAUCGACGUCACUGGUGCCAAGCUGUAUCGGCCUCUGCCUUUCCCUUGGAUAACAUCGGUGGCGUGGAAAGGAGAUGCUGGUAUGCAUGGGCGACUGCUGGUCUUCCGUAGACAAAUUUGGCCGGACUUGUGUCUGGGAGCGUAACUUUCUAGGUGCAAUCCCAAGGGGGGUCUUUACCAUGCACACCAUAUAUUAAUCUAAAAGAAAACCUUGGCAAGAUAUCAAUUGUGCAUGAUAAUGAAAUUACUAAAAGGAAGUAACAACCCAUAUUGACAACAAGACUUAAAGGUAUCAAGAAUCUGCAUUGGCAUUUUGGGAAGUUGAUAGUCUCAAUUAAAUGUAAGGAACAUAAGUUCAUACCUUACUAAUUAUACGUUAGGUAUAAUUAUAACAUAACUCAACGGUGACCAUUCACGGUAAAAUCUUGGAGCAAAGCUAAUUACUUUAGCACUCAAACUCAAGAUGCUGAGUGCAAAAACUUUUAAGUCAUCCAGUAAGAAUCAUAAGUCGACUUCCAAGUUUAGUUUCAAUGCACAUAUAUCAUACUGGAAGAUGAAGAAGAAAAACAUUACCAUUAAGGAAGUCCUUAAAGAUCAUGAAGAUUCAGAAAUAUUCUGGUCUGAGAUCAAGAACAAAAAGAGAGGGGAUAUGCCGAAUAAAUUUUGAUAAACAAAGGCGUGUUGUCCGAAGUAACGACGAACCACAGAACACCUGUGGCAUUAUGACUUCACUAUAGGAAAGCAUUUGGCUCUAUUUCCCACUCAUGGAUGCCAAAGUCUCUACACUUAACAAAUGUACCAGUUACAUUUGUCGCCGACGUUGAGAGUCUCCCAAAAUCUUGGAAGCAACGCUAACAAUUACAGUCGUGAACGGAACGAUCGUCUCUGAUUUUAUAAAUAUUUUAAAGGAAAUAUAUCAAGAAAAUAAUCUUCAUGUGCUUCUUUAUAUAUUGACAUUAAAACUGCCAUCAUUUCUUUUACAGAAAUUUAAUGAUUAUAUGAUAGGGUUUCGUGCUGCUAAGGAUGCCAAGGUAACACACAAUGUCUUUGUAGAUGACCUGUAGCUCUAAGCUAAAACUAUUUACAAAGCAUUUUCAGGUGAAAUAAGAAUGGAAUAUGAGGGAAAAAUAUUUGCAUUUGGUUGCUGAAUGUGGAAAAUCUGUACCCAAACCCAAAUCGUGUGCAUCAAAGGUCUUCCUCUCUAUGUUUGAAGUUGCACACAAUAAAUGCUACACAUAUCUCGGCAUUGAUAAAUAUAUAUCGUACAAAAAACGCUGCCGAUAUAGAUAGCGUAACCCGAGAAUGUUACACCAGAAUUAGAGAAAUAUGAUAGUGAGACCUCUCUUCUGAGAAGACAAUACUCUACAAUGCUUCAACGGUCCUAAUAUUGAUAGCAACAUUUAGGGCACUUGAAUGGUCAGUAGAAGAAAUCCACUCAAUAGUCAUUAAUAGCUGCAAGAUUCUGACAUCAAGUGGAAAUUUCCACGUAUACCGACACAGAUAACAGUGAUAUCGACAAGCUAACACAAUAAAGGAUGAUGGAAAUAGAGGCGUCAGAUCAGUACAGAGAGCUUUCGAAUGUAUAUUCUUUUGCAGAUAACACCUGUUAACUGCAACAAAACUACAUAUUUAAACUGAGUGCUCACAAGUGAAAAGAACAACAUCCUACGAGUCGAUAGUGAGCUGUCUAUGAAGUAAUGUCACUCUGACGACAUAUGUAAAACCCCUAAACAACUGGAAUAGCAUAGUUAAUAAAAGCUGGAAUGUGAAACACGCAUCAGGGCAAGAAAAAGACUAUGUAUAAGAAUGUUUCUCGAAGACUUGAAGACGACAGUAACAUCCGCCUGAAGUGCAGCAUUUCUUGAACUCUUGACCACUACAUCACAUUGCAUUUCGAAAAAUAUACGCUUGCAAUCCGAGAGAAGGACAUUCAUACAAAAUUCCUACUGAACGAAAAAGACAAUGAAAGUCUUGGAGCCUCAAGAUACAACGGAGAGUGUAGAGUGUGUCACAGUUUUGUGUAAGUCAUCCAACCUGCGUUAGGAGCGACCCCAAGAGGUCAUUACCUCUCAAAGUGAUAUAGCGUUGUCGCUAAAACAAUAUACAUUACCAUACGAAGAAGAAUGAGUCUUGGGCUACAUAUAGAUAGUUCUGCUACUAUUGAUUACAUACAUGAAUAGCUACACAAGGAUUAUUAGUGGAACAUUACCCUUCAAAGCUCAUACCAAGUUCAAGCAUAGAAGGCCUGGUAUAGCUGUCUGGAACAGACAACACAACGUAUGUAUCACCAUAGAAUUCAGAUGCUCUGCUGUUGUGAAUAUCUGUUAGAAAAUAGCUCUUCAUUACUGUUUGGUAAACUUCAAGUCAGAUGUGUUCAGUCUGUUGUAUAUAUAACAAUAUUUCGACAAUCUGCAAUAUAUCUCGGAUCAGCUUUUUUCAGCUCGCGUCACGUCAUCUCUCUACAUUUUCAUAAAACAUACAUUCACAUCUUUUCACCAUUGUACAUUGAUAAUCAUAAUCGUUUAUAAUUUAGGCAGAAUACCAACGCCACAAGGUGAGGAGCGUAAUCGCAGUCUGUAACUUCUUCACCAAUACCUGACUGGUGCUUUAAUUUAUCAACCCUCACAAUUGACAUUGGCAGGAUCACAAAUCAGAAUGCAAAAGAUCAGAAUAUAUAUCGCAGAGUAUCUUUACAAAAAAAACAUUUCUCUCUCUCUCUCUUUCUCUCUCUCUUUCUCUCUCUCUCUCCCUCUUUCUCUCUCUCUCUCUCUCUCUCUCUCUCUGUAUAUAUAAUCCAAAAAGAAAAACGGAGAAAACACACAAGAAAAAAUCAACGCAAGGACGUGGUACAUGCAAAAUAGUAAUAAGAUGCUCAGGAAGGAAAGAAAGGGUGUCUUACAUUUUGAGCAAAGCUUUCCUUCAGAAACAGGUGAUGGAGGUAAGUCCAAGAGAGAAGAAAAACGGAAGAAAAGAAUUGCCAACAAUUCACAUAUAGUUGCAUAUAUACAUACAUAUACGACGGACUUCUUUCAGUUUCCGUCUACCAAAUCCACUCACAAGGCUUUUGCUGGCCCGAGGCUUAGUAGAAGACACUUAACCAAGGUGCCACUGAGACUGAACCCGGAACCAUGUGGUUGAAAAGAAAGCUUCUUACCACACAGCCCUACCCCUGCUCCUAUAUAUAUAAUAUCUCAUCGCGAUCAUAGCAAAAAUUCUUCUAUGUAAAUUGUAUUUGAUCUGUCUUGAAACACACGUCGUUACUUCUCAAUGCGAUAUUUGUCUUUUUUCGUAACACUACGUUUUCUUAUUUUUGUUUGGGAAACUAUUUUAAAGUUCUCCCUAAUCUGUAGACUUAGAUUAGUACUUAUCAUAUCUCUGGCUUCUUCUCUUAGUAGGAACACAAGGAAGCAUAAGAUACAAUCACUCAUUACGAUGAAUAAUAUCAACUGACCACACGUACACACAUACAUAAACGACAUAAAACUAGGAUCUCUAUUGAAUGUCUCCACAGAAAUCACAGGUUCCACAUUUAACCAAUGGAAAGAAACAGAUAAUAGUAAAAGAACAAUAAAUUUCAUUCAUGAAGAUUUAUGACAAUCACAAAGGAUCUUUAUUUCCUUCUAGUGAAUUACAGCGAACACAAAAGGGCGUAAUACAUCUCAUAACAGUUUGUAUAUAGACCAGGUGGAAAUACCAGCUGCAAGAUAAAAUAGAAAUGCUAAAAUGGAAGCCCAUUUUGACAUAAGAUGGGCUCUGUUUUUUUUCUCCAUUAAUCAUUAACAUUAAUCACUAUCAUUUGUUUCAACGUACAAUUUACUUCCAUUCACCCAAACAAAUACGCAAAUAUCUCAGAGCACUACUACAAUAUAUUCAAAAUAAUACCUCUCUCACAUAUCCUGGACAAACAUAAAUAAAACAUACAGACAGAAAUAGUAGCAACAAUAAUAUGCAUUAAAAGUAUACUAACAAUGUGGUUUUCGAUGCUUGUUACUGAUUCAGGAAGAAAGAGCAGUGCCCAUGACCUUUGCAGAACUUCCGAAACCGGUGAACAUGAUGCAGUUUAUGUUCUGUUUGAACUGUCACCGUGAGAAGACGCCAGAGGCUUGAUAUUCAAUGGAAGACAGACUGAGUAAAGUGCAUAGCGAGGUUCUGUUAGUGUUGAAUGUACAAAGAGUGCCAAAAUGUAAAGUCACAAGCAGGGUAGGCGAGACGGAGGUGGAAAUACGAGAUCAGUAAGAUGCGAGGAUCAGAAGUCCCAAGAAUAGUGAUAGAAAUGAAAAAGAAGAGACAGAAUAUGUGUUUUAGAAAGUGGUGCAUGUGCGUUGGAAAUUUGAUGCUGGUCUUCAAAGCACAAGAAAAUUAAAUAUUUCAUUGUAAACGAGUGCAUACUGGCUGCCUUCGAUGUAAAUUCCAUCGAAAUGUUGUCCUGUGCAGACAACCAAGCUGCACUCCAUAAGAUGGACCACUGUAUGUCGAAGUAUACAGGAGAUAGUACAAUCGGUUAGUUAAGGAUUUGCAUACUAUAGAACGAUUGGGAAUGGUCCCGACUGGGGUCAAAUUACAAAAGAAAAUGAGUCCAGAACCCAUGAUCACCAUAAUAGUAUGAUUGAAAAUAAAGUGAAAUUACGAUGAAUAGUAAACGUGAUACAUUUGAUAUUCUCAAAAAAUUAUACUUCUUAUAUUUUAAUUUUUCACAUUUAACAUGGUGUUUGACCGUGUGAGGGUUACAGUUUUCAGCAAGCGUUAUUGUUUUGUUGUUUACUUUAGUUAUUUCGCGGUCAGCGAUGAGCAAAAAGAGUAGGUGUUCCAUUACCAUUCUACACUCAUUCAAAUAUAAUAUACGUAGUAUUAUAAUAUUCUGUAUGUUCUUCAAGUUUUCGUCAACAGACAAUAUGAACAUUUAGUUGCUAUGGCUUGCAAUUCCAACAAUCGCGUGUAGACUCCCUCAAUGGCUUAUUAAUCCCUGGUUCCUAGUGCUUACCAUUCGAAUUAAUAGAGGAUUUAUAUAUAUAUAUAUAUAUAUAUAUAUAUAUAUAUGUAUGUGUGUGUGUGUGUGUGUGUGUGUGUGUGUGUGUGUGUGUGUGUGUGUGUGUAUGUAUGUAUGUAUGUACGUGUGUGUGUAUACAUAUAUAUGAAUGUUUGUAUGUAUGUAUGUAUAUCAUUGUUUAUGCACACCGUGUAAGGAAUACCGAAACGAAAUGUUUAUAUAUUUACAUAAUAAGUCUUUACAAGUUCAUAUACCCAUUUCUUUAUUACCCACAAGAGGCUAAACAUAGAAGGGACAAACAAGGACAUACAUAGGUAUUAAGUCGAUUACAUCGACCCCAGUGCGUAACUGGUACUUAAUGUGUCGACCUCAGCGGAAUUUGAACUCACAACGUAACGGCAGACGAAAUACCGCUAAGCAUUACGCCCGACGUGCUAACGUUUCUGCCAGCUCGCCGCCUUUUACAAGUUCAUAUACCGUCACUCUCUGAUUCUUUCUCUCAUCCAAGAUUUUCUAUCUGUAUAUUCUCAUGACUUUAUCUUCCUAAUUUGCCCGUAUUUUUUGAAGUUACUCUACUUUUCUAUUCUCAUUUAUCAGAAGCACAUACAUAAACUUAUCCACAGAUACACGCGAGCGCAAGAACAUAUUUUUGUACGAGAAAUGCACAUAUAUAUCCUACAUAUGAAAUGAGCAUAUAUAUUCUACAUAUGCAUAAAAAGUAUCAUUCAGUUGAAUGAUACGCUGUGUGCUUGUAUGCACAUAUACACACAUACAAAAGCAUAUACCUGCAGACAAACACACAUGUACAACAUCAUAUGUUUAUGUGUGUUUGUGCACGUAUGUGUAGGGAGAGAAAAUUUCACCAUAGGCGUAGGAGUGGCUGUGUGGUAAGUAGCUUCCUUACGAACCAAAUGGUUCCGGGUUUAGUCCAACAGCGUAGCAUCUUGGGCAAGUGUAUUCUACUAUAGCCUCAGGCCUACCGCAGCCUUGUGAGUGGAUUUGAAAGACGGAAACUGAAAGAAGCCCGUCGUCUAUAUAUAUAUAUAUAUAUAUGUGUGUGUGUGUAUGUGUGUGUAUGUGUGUGUAUAUGUUUGUGUGUAUGUGUUUGUCCCCUCAACAUCGCUUGACAACCGAUGCUGGUGUGUUUACGUCCCCGUAACUUAGCAGUUCGGGAAAAGAGACCGAUAGAAUAAGUACUAGGCUAAAGGCGGUGCUCCAGCAUGGCUACAGUCACAUGACUGAAACAUGUAAAUGAGUAAAAGAGUAUUACGUCCAAUUUUAUUUGGGGUUUUUCAUAGCUAAGAAGGAUUAUACCAUGUAUGACUUGGAGCACUCUCGAACAGCCUAUUUAACAAUUCCAUUCUUAUUUUUUCUUCUGCCGUAGACUGCAUAGAUUGCAACAAUCUUUUGCAUCUGACAAGAAAUCUGAACAGCUAUUUUGUUAGACAACACCUCAUGGAUUUUGUUUUCAUAUGAGAAUAAGGAAACAAUCAAUGUAAGAGAUUUCAAAUUUCCUAACCAACAAACAGGUGUUGCGCAAAGAGUUUACGAUUAUAUGUCAAUCAAAACAAGAAAAUCGAUAUAAUACUAAAGAUCUGUAUGGUUUUAGAAGACAGUUAUGAUCGACAAAUAUGUUUUCAUAUGCACUUUUUGGACAUGUUUUGCAUACUGUUUGUUCCAGAUUAUUCUCAAAUCACAUCUGAUAUUGCAGAUGUAAGUGCCUUGGCCUGACCAUCAAAGCUUUAUUUAUGGGAAUAUAUUAUAUAAGUCCACAUUAUCUAAUAGGGUCGGUUAUUAAUAUAAAAGGAUGUGAUUUUUGAGACAAAUAUUGCUACUAUUUCUCGCAGUACGAUGGAGCACAUAAUCCCUCAUUGGCUCAGGUUUCUUCUUCUUCUUCUUCUUCUUCUUCUUCUUCUUCUUCUUCUUCUUCUUCUUCUUCUUCUUCUUCUUCUUCUUCUUCUUCUUCUUCUUCUUCUUCUUCUUCUUCUUCUUCUUCUUCUUCUUCUUCUGCUGCUGCUGCUGCUGCUGCUGCAGCGAUUACUACUUCUACUACGACCACUACUAGUGCCUUUCAUCCUUUCGGGGUCUAUAAAUUAAGUACCACUGAAACGCUGGGAUCGAUGUGAUCGACUAGUCCCUACCCACAAAAUUCCAGACCUUGUGACUAUGGUAGAAAGGAUUAUUAUUAUUAUUAUUGAGUGAGAGAGAAGUGUAUUCCACCUCAGUGACACUGGGGUAUAAAUAUACAAAGCCCAAUAUACCCAUCUUGAAGUCAAGUAGCCUAUCCCAAUUAAAAGGUCCCUGAAUAAGGUCUAAGAAAAACGAAAGAAACACCCAUGUUUCCAGAGGUGAAUUAUUCAAACCUAAAAUAUUCCUCUCACCACAUGGUUCCGAUGCUCCCCCACUACUUCUGCAAUCAUCAGAGAUGCACAUAUCGUCAACCAGUAAGGGACAUGCUCAAGUGGUUACGGUGAAGCAACUGACAAGUAAAUCUAUGGUAUUGAGCAGAAUAUAUGGUAUUGAGCAGAAUAUAUGGUAUUGAGCAGAAUAUAUGCUGUAGCCCAUCUUUAUGCCAAGACAAAACAUGUACAUAACACAUCCAAUCACUUAAGAUGAAAAACCUUGAGAGCCAUUUAAUAUUAUCAUCAUCAUUAUCAUCAUUAUUAUUAUUAUUAUCAUCAUCAUCGUCAUCAUCAUUGCCUUUGCACAGCUACUAACGCUGGAGAUGUACUACAUAGUCAGCUGUUCACUACUAGUGAACUAAGGUAACACCUGUUUUUCGAGCACUUUCCGGAGUAUUCGAGCGGUUCCAAGCAGUGCUGUUUUCUGCAAGUGCUCCACACUUAUUGCAGCCCCUAUUUGUUCCACGUACUUCUCGAGAUUUUUGCUCACUGUUCCCAUUAUUAUCAUUAUUAUUAUUAUUAUUAUUAUUAUUAUUAUUAUUAUUAUUCAGUAGUUUUAUUUUUAUAGCGUGUUUUCACUUCACUACCGAGCGCAGCUCUGUGUGCCUUAGGUAUCUACUGUGAUUUGUUGCAAUGCUCCGAUGGUUAUUGUAUGGAAAGUGUUCUGCGUAGGAUGUGUGCAGUGCCUAGUAGUGCAAUUUUCUGUAUGUUAUAUGUGUUUGUAAGUCCUGGUGUUUUUGUUAUGUAUUUGUCUGAAUAGUUUUUUAUCAUGCCUAAUGCACCUACUAUGAUAGGAAUUGUUUCUGUUUUUAGAUUCCACAUUCUGGUUACCUCUAUUUCCAGGUCUUUGUAUUUUGAAAGUUUCUCCAUUUCUUUUAGAGACACGUUAUUAUUAUUAUUAUUAAUAUUAUUAUUAUUGUUAUUUCUCACUUUUGCUUUAUGCAUGUACAAGUUGAGUCCAAGUGUCACCCAGAGACCUCAAGAGACAACAAGUUAAAAGUUCAAGUUGAUAUUAUGCCUGGGGUGUCAUAUAUUUGGUUUUGUACAUAGUAUUGUUCUAAAGAAUGAUUAAGAAAAUAUAAGAAAAUUAGAAGUUCGUUUGAAAAUUUGAGAUUAUAUACACAGUAUUUUAUGUAUGAUAUGGGCAGUUCCCAUGAGCCCUGUCUUGAAUUUCUGCCAGUUUGGGAUCUUCUGGUAUCUAAGCUAGGUAGGAAUAAGCCCCUUUUCCUAUCAUUCCUAGGGUAUGUAUGACGACAAUUAUUGUUUUAGUCUUGAUGUUCCACAUUUUGUCAAUUUCCACUUCAAGAUAUUUAUAUUUGCUCAGUUUUUUGUAGGUCUUGACAGAUACAUUUAUGUCGAUUGAGACAGUCAUAUCAAUGAGGAGGCAUGAAUUUCCUAUGAAGUCCUUCAUUAUAAUGUCUAGCAUAUUCACAUCUUUCUUUCUGUCAGUUUGAACGGUGAAGUUCCAGAGGUGUGAAAUGUGACAUUUUGAAGCACUGGAGGCGGUUUGUGUUACCACCAGUUUUUAUCAUGGGGCAGGUCCAUUCUUUUGCUAAUUACCCAGUGAAUAUACUGUGAUGCUCUAUCAUGCCUGUUGAGAUACUCUGUAGGCGAAGAAGAAUGCACAUAGAGACUACAUGAUCAAGACUUGUUUUAUUCAUAUUCCUGAGCGCCAUACUAAUACAAUUGUUUAUUUGUACUCCACCUACCUUCGUCAUUUGUUUAUUUUCAUAAAGCUUCCCGUUAUAUAUAUAUAUAUAUAUAUAUAUGUGUGUGUGUGUGUGUGUGUGUGUGUGUGUGCGUGUGUAUGUGUAUGUAUGUGUUUGUAUAUGUUUGUAUGUCUGUGUUUGUCCCCUCAACAUCGCUUGACAACCGAUGCUGGUGUGUUUACGUCCCCGUGUUUACAAUCACGACAUAUUGGGCUACUGCUGUUCUUUAAUAUGUUGGUCUGGUAGAUCCUUUUAGGUAGGCAUUGAUAUUGGGCUGCUAUGAUGAACCCUUCUAUUUCUGAUUUUAAGCCAGAAGACACUAACCAUUUUAAGCCAGAAGACACUAACCAUUGACAACUUCGGCAUUAGCUCGCUUUGGGUAUUUGCCAUUGAGAGGUUUUUCUUGCCAUUUAUCAGUAAGGCUGCAGUUCAGUACGUGUUUUCAUACGCUUAGCUUUUUCUAUGCUUCUUUCCAAUGCGUCUAAUUCUGGGAUUUGCUGUAUUUGGAAUUCAGUUAGAUAUUCCUUUGCCUGUUUUAUUACUGAAUAUGAUGCUUUCUUACUUUCAUGCUUUAAAAUAAGUUUUAACAUCCAGUCAUCAGUUAUCAGGUAGGUGUUGAGUCCAAUUGUGGCAAUCUCCAUUGUUAGUUCCAGUUGAAAAAGUCCACGGCCACCCUCUUGUCUUGGCAAGUAGAGUCGUUCUAUACCUGACCUAAGGUGGCGCAUUCUAUGCAUUGUCAAAAUUUUUCGUAUUUUUCUGUCAAGAUCACAUAUUUCAGUAAUUGACCAGUUAAUGAUAUUGAAAUAGUAAGUCACGACCUGUAUGGUUAAAGUAUUGAUCGCUUCGAUCCUGUUUCUUGCAUCCAGCUCAGUCUUGAGUAUUGCCCUUACCUUGCGAUAACAUUCUCUUCUGAUUAUUUCCCUUAUCCUUGAAUGCUUGAUUCCAUCGCCUAGGUAUUUGUAGGUCUCCGUUGGUUCUAACUCCUUUAUGGCAUUCUGCUGAUAAAGAUUACCAUUGGAUGUUUCUGUUUUACUUUUCAUAAAGAUAUCUUUUGCACAUUUAUUGAGGCCAGUUAUUAUUGAUGUUGUUGUUGUUGUUGUUGUUCUUCUUCUUCUUCUUCUUCUUCUUCUUCUUCUUCUUCUUCUUCUUCUUCUUCUUCUUCUUCUUCUUCUUCUUCUUAUUAUUAUUAUUAUUAUUAUUAUUAUUAUUAUUAUUAUUAUUAUUAUUAUUUAUUGUCUUUGCACAACUUCAAACGCUGGAGAUGUACUACCAUACCAGCUGUUCACUACCAGUGUACUAAGGUAACACCCUUUAUUUUUCGAGCAAUAUCCGGAGUAUUCGAGCGGUUCCAAGCAGUGCUGUUUACCGCAAGUGCUCUACUCUUAUUGCAGCUCUUAUUUUUUCCGUGUAAUUCUCAUGAUCUUUACUCACUGUUCCCAGGGCUCCGACCAUUAUUGGUACUACUACCACCUUUUUCAGCGACCACAUCUGCUUAAUCUCCCAAGCUAACCUGUCAUACCAAUCGAAGUUAGAAGUUCGAGUUGGUAUUAGGACUAGGGUGCCAUAUAUUUGAUUUUAUCCAGAGUAUUGUUCUAGAGAACGUAUGUCAAAACAUAAAUAAAUUAGAAGUUUGUAUUAAAAGUAAUUUGAUUAUAAGAUGAUAGUCUGAUGUUAAGAAGACAGUAAAUGUUGUUUGCUGUUAUUUACAUUUAAAAGUAUUUUGACACUAUUUAUGGAUUAAAAUAUUUUAGGUAUUACAUAGACAAUAUUUUACGUAGGAUAUGGCGGUUCACGUGAGCACUAUAUUAAAUUUGUUCCAUUUCUGGAUUUCCUGGUAUCUGAGCUAGUUAGCAUCUCUACCAUUUUACUAUUCUAUUAUUCCUAGUGUACCUAGGACAAGAGGUAUUGUAUUAAUCUUGAUGUUCCACAUUUUGUCAAUUUCUAUUUCAAAUAUUUAUGCUUGCUAAGUUUUUGAUAAGUCGAUUAGGAUAGUCAUAUCGGUGAGGAGGCAUGAAUUUUGUCUCACGUCCUUCAACAUAAUGUCUAGCCUAUUUGCGUAUUCUGUUGGUAAGUUUGAACGGUGAAGUUCCAAAGGAAUGAGAUCUGGUCAUUUUUACAGGUAGCGGUUUAAGUUCCCACCAGUUUUUAUCAUGGGGCAGGUUCAAGUCUUUGCAAAUUACCCAGAAGAUAUACUGUGCCCUUCUAUCAUGCCUGUUGAGAUACUCUGUAGGCGCAAGAAGAAUGCACAUGGAGACAACAUAAUCAAUGGUUUUAUUUUGAUGUUUACAUACACGACCUGUUGGACUACUGCCGUUCUUUAAGAUGUUGACCUGGUAGCUUCUUUUAGGUAAGCAUUGAUCAUGAGCUAGUAUGAUAAACUUUUCUAUUUCUGAGUUUAAGCCAGAAGACACUAAUCAUUGAUGGGUGAGGGCUUUGUCAAUAUCGGCAUUAUAAGCUCGUUGGGUAUUUGCGAUUGAGAGGUUUUUCUUGCCAUUUAUCAGUAAGAAUAUCUAGGGCGGCAGUUUUAGCACGGGUUUUCAUGCGCACUGCUUGUUUUGUGUAGGUUGUUUAAUUGGAUUGAUAGUGUCUUGCGUAAGAUGUGGGCUGUUCCUAGCGGGGUUAUUAUUUGGACAGCGUGUUGUGUUGACAAUCCAGGUAUAGAUUUUACAUUAUCAUUCAUAUGAUUUUUUUAUCAUGUCCAAUACUCCAAUUAUUACUUCUAUAGUUUUACCUUCAUACUCCAAAUUUUGAAUACUCCAAUUUCUAGAUCUUUGUACUUCAACAAUUUCUCCAGUUAAUUUUUGACAAUAUUUUGAUCAGAAAUGUUUGCAAUGCCUACCAGUAAGCAGGUUUUUACUCUCCAAUCCUUGACUAUUAUGUCUGGGCGAUUAGCUUUUAUUUCAUUGUCAGUUUGAGCUGGCAUAUCCCAGAUGAUUGUGGCCUGGUCAUUGUUUUGUACCUUGUUUGGCACAUGUUUAUACCAUUUGCACUCGGUUUUAACUUUGCAGUGUUGGCACAUUGUCCAGUGGAUAUAGUUACGUAGUUUGUCGUGUCUUUAUACAUAUUCUGACUUAGCAAGGACAGGGAACAUUAUUAUUAUUAUUACUAUUUUUAUUAUUAUUAUUAUUAUUAUUAUUAUUAUUAUUAUUAUUAUUAUUAUUAUUAUUAUUAUUAUUAUUAUUAUUAUUAUUAUUAUUAUUAUUAUUAUUAUUAUGUUCUCUUUAUCACAGGUUUUGUUGGAACUCCUGGAGUCUUGUAUGGGUAGCGAGUUUACUACCUGCAGCCUACGAUACCAUACUAUUCGUUCUUUUCAGCUUUCUAAUGAUUUCCUGAUUAUUCUGGCCGUACCACAGAGGGAAAACAACUUGUGUAACAGUUCUACUGGGUACACUAUUCUAGUUUCUUUUGUAUUCCUCUUGACGCCUUCCGAUACUAUUCCCAAAGACCCAGCAAUAAUUGGCACUAUCUCCACCUUCUUCAUUUUCCAUAGCCGGGCUAUUUCGUACGUAAGAGUGUUGUAUCUAUCUUUUCCCCUUCCUUCUUGGCUAGUCGUGGGUCAAAGGGGCAUGCAACGACAACUAUAUAACAAAUGUGGUGCACCUUGUCCACCACCACUGAGUCCGGUCUGUUAUGCUCUAGCACAUUUUUGGUUCGGGAAAUCCCAGAGGAUUUUCCUAGUCUCCGACUCCGCUACUUUCUGCAGUUUGUGCUCAUACCAUAUCUUGUCUUCCUCUAGCCUCCACUUUUCGCACAGUUUUCAACGUAGCAUUUUCGCUACCUGAUCAUGGUUUUUGCCAAAUGUAGGGCAUUCGUUCGUGAUACGGGCAAUGGUUUCAUCCACUCUACUGCAAAUGCUGCACAGCCGAGACAAUUUUUAUUCCUACGGUUGACCCUCCAGUUCAUGACCAAAGCUUGCUCUUGCGCUGCCAGUAUAGUGCUCUCGGUUUCUCUUUUUUCUCUCCUUUUUUUAGUGUUCCAGUGUACUCGGUCUCUUUGUUAGUGUUCUAUUAUUAUCAUUAUUAUUAUUAUUAUUAUUAUUAUUAUUAUUAUUAUUAUUAUUGUUAUUAUUAUUAUUAUUAUUUAAAUAGGCAUGUUAUUCAGGUUGAAAGCAGAAAGUAUCAUAGCGAAAUUAUAUCUAAAGAAACAUACAAUUAGUACAAUUAGUAAUUAAUUUGUUACUCAAUUAAGUGAUGUUUUUUUGACAAAUACAAUUUGUGCGCUUUUCUCUGAUUAAACAAUUUUCAAAGUUUUUUUUUCUUAUUUUGCAUCCGUUGUAUGUUUCAUAAAAACUGUGUAAUAUGUAAUUUUGUCAAUUAUGCAUUUUGGCAUCUAUAUAUAAAUAUGUGUCGGUGGAAACAUUUAAGUAGUUUUCACACGCAUACGCACAUGCACACACACACACGCACACACACAUUCACACACAGACACACAAAUAAAUAUAUUUUAUUAUAUUAUAAUAUGUAUGUGUAUAAAUGCAUUUAUGUAUGCAUAUAUAUAUAUAUAUAUAUAUAUAUAUAUAUAUAUGUAUAUAUAUAUAUAUAUAUAUAUAUGUAUAUAUGUAUGUAUAUAUAUGUAUGUAUAUAUAUGUAUAACUGCAUUUAUGUAUGCAUAUAUAUAUAUUAGGUAUAGAUAUGUAUGUAUAUAUAUAUAUGUAUGUAUAUAUAUGUAUAAAUGCAUUUAUGUAUGCAUAUAUAUAUAUUAGGUAUAGAUAUGUAUGUAUAUAUAUAUAUAUAUGUAUGUAUAUAUAUGUAUAAAUGCAUUUAUGUAUGCAUAUAUAUAUAUUAGGUAUAGAUAUGUAUGUAUAUAUAUAUGUAUAAAUGCAUUUAUGUAUCCACAUAUAUAUAUAUGUAUGUAUAUAUACAAACAUACAUAUAAAUAAAUGUAUAUAUAUGUAUGCUUUUCAGCAUGAGCAAAAAAUGAGAAAAGUGGGAAGAACAGAAAUAGAAUUACAGUAAAAGUUCUAACGUCAGCAUCACGCUCAUAAAUUGCAUAUUCGUAUGCACACAUGUUCGCUCACACUCUAUCCCACUUACAUAAAUUCACUCACUCAUAUUGACUAAAUAUUUGAAUGCUUACAUACGCGCGCGCGUAUUGACAUUUAUAUAACAACGCGCAAACUUGGCUGUAUCGUAAAGAAAACCACUUUGCAAAGACUUGAUUUUGUGUUAUAGAAGUGAAACAAGUGGUAUUCACUGUUUAUAGUCUGUACAUGUAUACCUUGAUUUAAACUACAUAUAUAUUUACGUAUUCUGUAAUUAAGGAUAAUUUGAGUUGCUCCCAAGGAACGAGCUCGUUGUCCGUAUAAUUAUAAUGGAUGAGCUAGUGUCUUUGUAGUUAGGACGUUAUUAAUUAUUUGUUUGAAUUAUAUAUAUAUAUAUAUAUAUAUAUAUAUAUAUAUAUACAUGAGUAUAUAUGUUUGUUGCAGUAAUAUUAUUUAUUUAUAUGCAUAUUUGUUUUAAUUUAUUUCGUUUUUGGAUUUGUUGUGCAAGAUUCUUUAUGUGAGUUCGUGUGUUGAAACAUUUUGUGUGGUGUCUGGGUAGAGUAAUUUUCUUUUCGUGCCUUAUAAUUUGACACACACACACACACCGGUAGAAUUUGCACUCAUUUACUUAUUCAUUUUUCUAAAAUUUUCGUUGAGCCUUGCAAUCUUUUCAAUAAUUUUUGACUAUUCUAGAAAUAUAUAUAUAUAAAUAUAAGGAUGGUAUUAUUAAAAUACCAUCACAAGUAGUAAGCGAAUUAUCAGCCGUACAGGCAAACUAAUAAUAUAUAUAUAUAUAUGACCAUUCGGUGGUACGCAAGUAAUUUUUGACUUCUAUCGUUAGCGAUAUAGGUACUCAUGUAGAACACUUGUGUAUAUAUGUACAUAUCUAAUAUUGUACAUAUAUAUUUUAUUAAUAUACACACACACACACAUAUAUAUAUAUAUAAUUAUUAUUUGAGGGUAUAAAAUCCAAACUUACAAGGAAAAAGAAUUCAAUUUAGAAAUGCUAAAUCAAAUUUCACACAAUAUAAUAUAUAUAUAUAUAUAUAUAUAUAUAUAUAUAUAUAUAUAUAUAUAAUAUAAUAAAAUAAUAAUAAAAAGAUGGUGUAAUUUAAUUGUUCAUUUUGAAUUGAUAAAAGGUAGUUAUUUUCUAAUUAUAUAUAUAUAUAUACAUAUAAAAUUAUAGGGCACUAAAAGAGAAUAAAUCUCCUCAGACACAACAGAAUAUGUUUUUAUUUAAUUUACUUCUAUCUCCUAUUUUUAGUUUCUUUUACUUGUAAUAACCAAUUUAUUUUGUUAAUAUAUUUUAUAGUCUUUUGUUUCUACAUAGUUGGAGGACGUUGUGUUUUUCGACUAAACUUUAUGAGGCUUGUUUUACGUGUGAUAUCACGUUCGUGGUCUUAUCUUGGGUGAGAAACAAAGUAUUUGGGAGUCUAUGUUUGUUGAAUUGGCUGAAUAUUCUUUAUGAAAUUAAUUAUCUGUUAUGAGUACUAUUGUGUAAUUUUAAGUAAUUACUAUUUGUUCAAUCAAUUGUUGUUACUUGUAGCAAUAUGCUGGUGGAUUUCUAGGCAGCGUGUAUAUCGUUAAUACUAUUAACACUGCCGCAUUGAAUGGCACUCCUCAGGUGUCGAAACCAUAGUGAUUCCGUGUGGCAGUUGAUGAGGGGAAUACUCAUUUAUUAUUCUUGAAUGUGAAUCACUUAUAUGUUAGUCGCAUUCUUAUGAGUUUUCUUUCAUUCUUGUAAAGUGGAAAGUGUUUGUGAAUUCAUAGUUUGUGAAUAUCACUCACAUUGGUAAUGUUUGGUUUUCUUCAUAGAUAAUCUAACUAGGCUUAGAUAAUCCUUAUAUAUUAGGUUCUGUAUGUGUGUGUGUGUCACAGAAAGUAAUACUUUCUCUGGUUUUCUGUUUCAUUCUAAAUAAAGCAUUCUGUCGACAGAUGUGACUCAAGGGAAAGUGCCUACCGCAAGAAGUAUUUCUUUCGAAUACAUUCACUCUAUAGAACGUAUUAAGUACUUUUAUUCACAUUCUUGUAACAAUUUAAAACCGUUAUAUACGUUCAGGGACGUCUAAAAGCAUAUCUCCUUCAUCUCUCUGUCUUUGUCUCUCUCUCUCUCUCUCUCUCUCUCUCUCUCUCUCUCUCUCUCUCUCUCUCACACACACACACACACGCACACAAUCUCUCUAUACAUAUACGUACAUAAACACAAAUAUUCAUACAUAUGCGUGGGUAUUUGCGUUUGAAUGUGUUUUGGUGAAAAGUACAUGUUAGUAUGAUAGAAUUUGUUUUUGUGUGUUUGGAAAUCACCCCCCACAACUUAUAGAUAGUAAGACUACAUUGGGUAUAUAAAAGAAAUUUUUAGGUAUCGAUCAGAUCACGAAUUUUUUUGAACUAUUAAAUUGUAGGAGAACCUUCUGGUCUCUUGCCAAAAUAAGAUUCUCAAAUUUUCCUGCUCCUACAAAAGUUUCUUAGCGCCAGUUACAGUAACACAAUAAACUUUGCACUUUCGACGUUAUACUUCUCAAUUCUUUGCUGAUCAUGUGGUGCAUGCUGCCACCGUAUAUGAUAUCUCUUCCGAUGUUCAAACACAACAACGUGACUGAUCGUGACUGCAUUUUUUUCCCAUUCAACUUAAAAAGCAGUAUUAAUAAUAACUAGAACGAUAAAUAAACAUAAAUAUCAGUAAAGGUAACAAUAAAAGUGACAAGAGAACAAUACCAAUAAGAAUAAAAACUGACAGCAGUUUUAAUGAUUGACUCACAAUAAAAACCAACAGAACACAUUUAUAGCAAUGUGUUAGUCGUACAAAAUACAACUGCAAUAAUAGCAACAAAGGUUGAAUUAUCACUACAGCUAAUAACAAGAGAGUGCAACAGGUAGAACAGAAAAACAAGCAAAUUGUGCAAAACAAAUGAACAAAGAAACGGCAAUAAUAAAACUAAUGUAAUUCGUGUAAAAUCUGCAAAGGUUGUUUUGAGGUGACUACAUUUACUAUUCGCAGUUAUUAGAGGCAUUUAUCAUACAGAAUAAUCCAAUUUCUGUCAACUUAAUAUCAUACGUUGUCAAAAGAAAACACUGAAAGUUCUCCGAAUAAACAAGUUCUCUGCUAUGCGCUCUUGUGCUGCAACUCAGCUAAUUAAUCGGUACUCCGCUAGUUCUAUGGUGUCAAGCUAGUACAGAAGCUAGUUUGUGAACACAUGCUAGUUCACAAAACAAUAAUUCCUUCAGGAUCAGAUGCCAAAGGUCAAAGAUAUAGAAGAAACUUGAAUAUCUGCCACUUGUUUUAAACCCUGUCAGGCAGCAGCUGGUCUUAAAAGUCAUCUAAGGGCUAAUCAAAGGAUGGUUGUGCUGUGUGACGAGGUGUGGUGUGUGUGUGUGUUGAUGAGACGUCUACCAUUUCUCAUCAUGAAGCAAUCAUCAUCAUAUAUAUAUUCUUUUGUUUGUUUCAGUCAUUUGACUAAGGCCAUGCUGUAUUAUCGCCUUUAAUCGAACAAAUCGACACCAGGACUUUAGCUGUUCCUUCUAGUGUAAGGGAGUCCUAUGAUGAACACCUUAUGUGUUUAAGUGUACACUGUAUUUUAUACAUAUAUAUACACAUAUAUUCAUACAUACAUAUAUAUAUGCAUAAAUAUAUAUAUAUCCACAUAUAUACAUAUAUAUAUAUAUAUAUAUAUAUAUACUUUAUUUAAAGCAGCAGAAAAUUCUACAAAACCUGUUACUCUGAGUUUCGCGUUGCAAAAACUGUCCGAUGAACGGCAACGCGAAACUCAGAGUAACAGGUUUUGUAGAAUUUUCAGCUGCUUUAAAUAAAGCAUAUUACUCUACCACUGGUAUUUGAGUACUCUUUUUUUCCACCUUGUUUCACAUUUAUGUGUUUACUCCGGUAUAUAUAUAUAUAUAUAUAUAUAUAUAUAUAUAUAUAUAUAUAGUGAAACUAUUAAAAGUGAAACAAUAUAAAAGUGAAACUAUUUAUAACUGUUACUCCGUCGAAGGUUUCACUUUUAUUCUUCGAGUUUUGUGACGUAAUGCGGGACCCGUGCCAAUGUUGCACCGUUUAACUCCCCCAAAAUUACAUUUAAAAUUUUAUUUGAUUUGGUUGAGCCGUUCGAGAAUGCAUUAUGAACACACAGAGACAAAGGAUUAUGUCGUCUCUGUGGCGUUUCAUGUUCUUGUCCAUGUCUGUAAUUAUUUUUACUGUUUACCUAUAUAUAUAUAUAUAUAUACAGAGAGAGAGAGAGAGAGAGAGAGAGAGAUUAGUUACUUAUAUAUAGUUACAUUCAUCAUGAUCCAGAAAUGUGUGUGUCUACAUAUAACAAUGUGUCGAUUACCUGAAAUGCGACUUCUCUCAACCUAGUAACGACAAACGCAUUGCCCUUCAAAUAUCGUAAAUAUCAUGUAAACAGUUCUAGAUCAACUCUUCUUCGUCAUACUGUAUCUUUCACAACCAAAUUUAUAAGCUGCUUUAAUCCACUGGACCUUAACUGUUAUAUACCAUCUAUUAGGGAGAUAGGCUUUGGAAAAUUUCAACGAUGACAAUCUUGUUAAACUAAACAUCAAACAUGGCAUUAAACUUCAAGUGUUACAAGAAAAAUCUCACAAGUUUGCUCUCCUCAUAUUUCUCCUACUUCUCUCUCCCCUCUUGCUCUUCCCUCUCUCUAUAUAUAUUUUCCCUUUAUUUACCCCUCUCUCUAUAUAUAUAUUUUCCCUUUAUUUACCCCUCCCUCUCUCUCUCUCUCUCUCUCUCUCUUUCUCUGCCGUUCCCCUUUUCUGUCACUAUCUUUUCUCUUUCUCAUUUCCUGAGGCGAUUCUUUUAAAUCUUUUUUUUUAUUUGUUUCAAGCAGAUCACUGCAACCAUGAUGGGAUGUAUCCUUAAAAAAUUUUUAGUCGAAGGAAUCGAUCCUAGUUCUUUUCAUUAUAUAUAUUUUUUAAGCUGUGUAAAUAUGAGAGAUGACAAUGUCUUUCUGACUUGUUCCUUCCUGUAUUCGUAACGAUUUGUACUCCAGAAGCAUAAUAUCUUACUAAAUCUAUCUCAUUUAUUUAUGACUUGCAAAAUUUUCUGCCUGCUCGCGUUAUCUGCAUACAAUCUAGUGACCUCAUUCAGAUAGAAAAGGUUCUAAGAACAACGAUUUAGGGAACAUUCUUCAAAUGAAAACUUGAGGUUAGCUAGUCUCUUCCAACAGCACGUAGAUGGUAUAAAUGUUCGUGUCAAAGAAACAGGUUUGAACCUCAUAUUCUAGUGCCAUGAAAACUUCAAAGCUAAUAAUGCUAAGCUACGAUAUCGGCGAUACCAUAUAUAUAUAUAUAUAUAUAUAUAUAUAUAUAUAUAUAUACACACAGAUAGACACACACACAUAUAUAUAUACAUACACGCACAUAUAUAUACACACAAACAUACACAUACACUCAUACAUUCAUACAUACGUACAUACAUACACAUAUCCAUCCAUCCAUUCAUAUAUACAUACAUACAUAUAUACAUGCAGCAUUGCCAAAUCUUCAUCACAUCACAAAAUAUACGAUUCUGCUUUAAAGCCGGAAAAUGCUUCAACCAUUAUCAGUUACUGAUGGUCAACAAAGUUCUAUGAAGACCUACAAAAUAGCAUUUCUUACGAUGAAAAGUGUCACCCUGUACAAGAAUAAAAAUCCUAGAUAACAUCCGAGAUUCUAUAAAUCAAUAACCUUCAAUAACUUACAAGCACGUUGAUACUCGUAUUUGACUUCUCUAUUUGUUACUAAAAUAUAGCUGAACAUUCCGGAACGACUUCAAAACUAUAUGAAACACACUCAAACACCUAUAUACUCAAUGCUUCUCAGCUGCUAGAUCUUAUUCGAAAUACUGUGACCUAUAUUUCUAGCCCAAGAACACGGAAUUUAGAAAUCAUUGUUGCUGCCACGGAAUAUCUACUAGCAUUAUUGCCUAUAUUUUAGCAGUGUGUGGAAAAAUUUAAACAUCAGGAGUAAUGCCUCUCUUCCACUCAUUAUUACAUGUAUGUGUGUUCCUUUGAGUCUAUGUGUGUCUUUGCAAGUGAGCUUCAAUUUGCACGCACAUGUGUUUGAAUAUAUGUGUGUAUCUAUAAGUAUAAAAUGAUACAUGAAUAAGUACGUUUGAUAUUUAGGAUAUUACUCCCUUGUAGAAAAGCAAAUUGAUAUACCAACAGACAGAGAGACAGAGAAACAGAUAUACCGACAGACAGAGUGUCGUAUAGAUAUGUUUCUUUAUUGGCUAAACAGGGCUGAACACAGAGGGGCCAAAAUACAAACUAGACCUUUUCUUUUUGGAAAGGGAAAAAAAGUGGGGUAGAAAUUCGAUCAAAAGGAAUCGUCGAAACAAAAAAGAAGAAGCGAUCAAUAGGGAUUGUGUAUCACAGAAAUGUCAUAAUGUAAGAGGGGAAACAGAUUAGGUUUAUCUGUGGAAAGAAAAGCCUACGGAAAAGACCACGGUAACCUCGUACAAUAACGUCAUGCAAAACCACAUUUUUUCCUUUAUUUUUCUGGAUCAUAAGACAAUGCUCAAGGUGGCUUCGUUAUCCACACGUACCGUCCUUGCUACAUUCACCCAUCUUUUAGAUAGAUAGAUCGAUAGAUAGAUAGAUAGAUAGAUAGAUAGAUAGAUAGAUAGAUAGAUAGAUAGAUAGAUAGAUAGAUAGAGAUAUAAACAAAUGAUAUACGAAGAGGUUUGAAGGAGAGAUGCGAUACUAAUACAGAGAAUGUCAGACUGACAGACAUCCAGAGCAGACUAAUGGAUAAUAGAUACAUGUCAAAUUUUUCCACACUUGAUAAUAAAUUCAAUUUCACACAGACAAGAUUCCAUUGGCAUGUAGAUUAGAUAUCAUUUCUUUCUUUGUUUUUAACCCGUAUUUUUAUAUAGCUAUAUAUAGUGUUUUUUUUUAUUUAUUAGAUUUUGUUUCCUUGCGUUUGUUUCCUUACGUUUUGUUUACUUUUUUUUAAUAUAUAUUUAGUAUCUGCAAAAUCCACGAAGAUUUUCUACAGUACAAUGGAAACUAUUGACAAAUAAUUGAAAACAAACAACAUCAUCCCAUACUCCUACCAUACUGAUUCCACGUCAGUGCAGCCACCAACACUGUUCAUCGCAAUCUUAUUAUUAACUGCCAUUCCGUUCUGAAAUAACCAAAACAACCAAACCUACGAUAUAAAAUUUGAUUUGUUAAAUGAAAUUAAAUUAAAGCAUUCUUCUAUAUGUGUAUAUAUAUAUAUAUAUAUAUAUAUAUAUAUAUAUAUAUAUAUAUAUAUAUGUCAUGUCAACAAAAUAAAGAGAAAAUCAUGAACAGCAAUAUUAGUAGUGGAACGUAAAGGCAUAUAAAAGAAAUCAAAACGUAUUAAAACAAAAAUAUAUGUUAUAAUAAGUAUAUAUAUAUAUAUAUAUUCAAUAUAUGCUAUGUGGUGUACUGCUGUGUGUCUGGUAGCUAAAUGCUUAUAAGCUCCUAUACACUCGUCUGAAUAUUUCUUCAGCUUAUACAAGGAGAAUCACAUACAAAUAGUCAUAAAUAUAUAUGCUGGACAUUACCACAAUCUGAAACAAGAGAAUAUCGCAAAAUAUCGGCAUAUUGCGACCUCAUAUGCGAUUUGUUCGAGUGUAAAUCGUUAUAGAAAAAUGCUCAUCUAUCCAGAUUUUAUUUUAUUAAAUCAAACAGGGUAUAUUAUUAUAAAACAAAUCAAUGAAAAUUUCUCCGAAAUCCUAACAGAGAACAUACAAAAGCGGAAUCAACUUACACAGCUCAUGCCUUAUCAUCCAUUUCUAUUAUAACACGAAAAUAUAAACAUUUGUGUAUAUAUACAUAUCACAGAAUCACUGGAUUGAUCAGACCAUCACAUGCUAUGUUACAUCGCUGAUGACAAUGCACUUCCGAUUCUGUCAUGAUUACUUUUUCAUUCUUUUUCAUGGGCCUCUGCGAUGUAGCAAAUCGAUUUUCUAUCCUCUCGUGAUUGUCCACGUCUCACUUGCGAAUAAGAGGACGGCGCAACUGAAGAUUCUGGCACGAAUGAUGUUGUGUUUCUUUGUUUUGAGCCCAUCUUUUAUUGAGAUAAACAUCUUCCAUCCCGUCCUCAAUGUGUUUGAGGUUUCAGCAUCCAUAUUCAUUGUGUGCUCUAACUAGACAUACCUAUCCAAAUUCAUCGCUAUCCUUCUCUAUUCUGAUAAGUGCUACGUCCUCCAAUGACAUAUAUUUUGUUUUCAUGCUGUAUAUUUUUAAGGUCUACUGUUACAUUAUAUGAUUUCUAGCUCUGUCAGCAGGAUCUGGGACUCAUCUGUGGUUACAACGAUGAGUAAGUGUCGAAAACGUAUUACUUGCUCGCCAUUAAUAUUCACGCUUCCUGUUCAGUUAAUGGUCCUGACGACCAUUUCUAAACAUGUGGUAAAAAGCUUUGGAGUGAUGGACCUUUAUUGGUAGUGAUAGUAGAGUUAUGUGUUAUUCCUCUAGAUUUCGCAUCUCCAAGCAGUUUCGUGUUUUGCACCUCGGCACCAUGCAUUUCCGGAGAUUUCAACACUGCAAUCAUUGACGCCAUUAAAGGCAUUUUCGUAAUCACCAAAAACGAUACACAGAGGUAACUUUUACUCAUUCUUUCGUUAUCUAUCAUAUUGAGUUUAACACAGCUCACUGUCUUGGAUAUUUGUCAUCGAGUUGUUUCGAUAGACAAGUGACUAUGACCUUUGUAAAGAGCUUUUAGAUGUAGAGGUAGAGGCAAGAGGCAUAUGGGACGAUAGGAUUUAAAUCUUCUUUAUCACCCUAAGUAUGAAGCAACAUGGUAUGUGACUCUUUCAAAAGUGACGAUAUUUUACCCUCCAUCAGAUAGCGUUUGAAGCGUAGAACGAGGAUUUUUUUACAUCUCUUCACUUCCGCAUCGUAACAUAUCUGUCGUGACGCCGUCUUUCCCAGGAGCUUUGUCUGUUUUCACCACUUUGAGGCCAUUUUCAAUUACACAAUUAUUCAAUUACUUUGAACACAGUAGGUUGCACUUCUUCCAGCACUUCUUCCAGCAUUUCUUGGGAUGGAAAAUUAUGGUGACGAUUUUAAAACGGUUGGUAUAGAAGGUUUUGCAAAUCUCUGCCAACUUCCCUUUGUCUGUCACCAUGAGCCCAUCUAUUUACAUAUGUCUUUACAUAUAUUUCUUAAAUACCACUUAUCCAAAGUGGUAUUUAAGAAAUAUAUAGAUAGGUGGGUAUGUAUAAUGCAUGUAAUGUAUACACACAGACACGCACGCACACAUACACACACACACACACACACACACACAAUACACAUACUCUUAUAUACAUAAAAUCGUACACAGUACAGAAAUAUAGUAUGCAACACACACAUACAAACAUUUAUAUGGUGCUUUUAAUCUAAUAACUAAGAAGGCAAAUGAUACUAAAAUAUCAACGACACACCAAAAUGCAUUUUGCUGUGUAGAUUAUAACUGAUUUUAUUUGGAGUAUAUUAACCAUGAAAGCAUUAGCGUUUCGAAUCGCACCAGAUUCUCCAAGGUUUUGUAUAGUAAUAAUAAUAAUAAUAAUAAUAAUAAUAAUAAUAAUAAUAUUCCCUGAAGAAAAUCAUAAAAUAUCUAACAUUAGUACCUUUAUUGACUUUUAUAUUUGUAUGUGUGUAUAUAAUAUACAUAUAAACCAGAUACGCAGUUCCAAACAUUAUCUUUGAUUACACUCGUUUGAAUCUCCUUCUCUCUCUCUCUCUCUCCUUCUCUCUUACCUACUGCAACUCAACUAUGUAUCUUUAUAUGUAUGUACUUCUUUGUGUGUACCUAUGUAUAUUCCUGACCGCGUAUGGCUACGCUAGCGUAUGAAUCACUUGUCUUCUUCGUGAGUAUGUAUGUGUGUAUAGAUCGUUUUGAUAAAUUGUUUCAUUAUAUUACAUGUUGGAGACUCUGUAUAACUAUAUGCAAAAAGUUCUCUCAGCUUUUUUUUUCUCUCCUUUUAGAUACAUCUAUUAUGAUAGUUUUCUUCUAUCUAGAUGAAGUAUUAUCACAUGGGAUUUCACAUGUUCACUGCCCUAUAGCUACACUCUGCAAAAUGGACUUUCAAUUCGUUCUGUUAGUCCACUGGAGGCCUUGUUUCGCGCUCAUAAAUAUAUGUAUAUGCACGCACACACAUUAACACACAUGCAUACACACACGCACACACAUACACUUACAAACACAUAAACACAUGUAUAUAUAUACAUGUACAUACGCACACACAUAUGUAUAUACUCACACGCACAUACAAAUACACAUACAUACAUACAUAUAUGUAUUUGAUAGAAAUAGCUAUAAAACCUGCUAAUGCUGGUGGUGUUUGACGGUGAUGAUUGGUUAUGCUUCAUGAUCGUGGCCGUGAUGGAGUUAUGAUGAAGAUGAUGCUGAAACUGAUAUUUGUGAUAAUGGUGCUAGCAUUUGAGGUGGUAGUAGCGCUGAUAUUGCUGGUGUUGUUGGUGUUUUUGUUUUGUAAUGGUAUUUAAUUGCUUGGUAAAAUUUAAGUCUUCUGGGACCAUGAGAGUGGAAUAUAUGGUUUGUGCAUGGGAAUGGUGACUGGUGAGACAGGUGCUGUUGGUGAUAGAAAAUUUAUAAUGUUGCAAGUUGUAGGGACUGGAUUUGCUGCUAAAUUUUCAGUAAUGUUAGUGGUAGUUCUUGUUGAUAAGGCGGCGAGCUGGCAGAAACGUAAGCACGUCGGGCGAAAUACGUAGCCGUAUUUCGUCUGCCAUUACGUUCUGAGUUCAAAUGCCGCCGACAUCGACUUUGCCUUUCAUCCUUUCAGGGUCGAUUAAAUAAGUACUAGUUACGUACUGGGGUUGAUAUAAUCGACUUAAUCC